AAAAUAAUCACAUAUAUGAUAUACAAGGUUUUAAUAUGGUUUGAUCAAUCAUGCUUACGUCCAUGGAUGAGAGAGAAUGAUUCUACUAUACAAUAGAGAAUAUCACAAAGAAUAAAACCAAAUAUAUCCAUUGGGUUUCCGAAACAUCUCAUGAGCUAUCUACCUCCCAUUCUUUCUCACAUAUCUAUCCACCUCGUAUGAGUUCAUUUUCAUUUCAUAACUUUUUCCUUUCAUGACCUAUAAUAUUUAUAGAAAUAUUUAUAAUAACCUUAUUUAUUAUAUAAGAAAAUAUUAUAAUAAUAUAUUAGAAAUAUUCUAAUAAUAUUCUUUACAAAAAAAUCUAUACUAAUUUGGGAACACUUCCUAACAACUUGUGAUUGGUAGACCCUUACUAGCAUUUUUGGAUUGAUGCUGCCUCAUUUUUCUUGGAUCCUAACCUUCAGAUCAUCCUUGAAUCGAUUCAUAUUUUUCUCGGAUGAUCCAUCAGGUUUCAAUGCAUUUUCCAGAGUCUGCUUCACUGCAUCCAUCCUUUCCCAAAGCUCAUCUCCUGAUUUUCCCCCCAUCAGAUGGUUGAUUUUCUCGGAAACCUCCCCCCUAGCGAUUGACUCCCCGUCGCUUAUAUUAAUCCCGACCUUCCAGUCAUCCACUACCAGCUUUCUAUUAGUGAAUUGAUCAGUCAAAAGAGGGAAGCACAGCAGGGGAACUUUGCACCAGAUGCUUUCCAGAAUCGAGUUCCAACCACAGUGGGUGAGGAACCCACCAACCGCCGGAUGCGCCAACACUGCAAUUUGACAGCACCAGGGUAUGAUGAUAGAACGGCCGCGAACCUCCUCCUUUAGUUCAUUAGGGAGGAGAUCAGGAUCAUCAGAACUCACAAUAUCAGGCCUAAGCACCCAAACAAAGUUGAUUUUGCUGAGCAUGAGACCAUUAGCAAUCUCCAUCAGGUCCCUCUUACUAAUAUGAGCGUAGCUGCCAAAUGAAACAUACAAAACCGAGCCUUUAGGCUUAGCAUCCAGCCAAUGGGUGCAGUCAGACUCUGCCCACAGGCUGGUGGCCACAAUGCUCUUGGUGAACCCAGGUGGAAAUAUUGGCCCUACAGCGUAGAGUUUCUUCUUGGCCUGGAGUGCUGAUAUGGUAUGAAGCUCAAGCUCCUCCACUGUGUUGCAUAGAACAAAAUCGGCGCCCUUGGCAUCCUGGAAGGCGGUGGAGAUUAUCUGGUGACAAACCGUAGAUGUAUCAGUGGCUUGAAGAUAGGAAGUCAUGUCCCUUGGAUGGAUUGCUUCAACCCCUGGUAUGUAAUCUAUCACGUCCUUACGAGUUUCUGAUCAUAAAAUUUGAAUCUUAUUUAGUUCUGCCAGACUAAAAAUAAGCACGAAUUGAUAAUAAAAAGCGUGAUUUGAAUCUUACCACUGCAAUCGAAGUGACCAUGUUUUCUGAGAAGAUCCAUAUGAUAAUACAGUGUAAAAACCAAAGCAGGCUCCGUCCAAAAUGAAACAUACAAAAGCCCGAACUUCUUCGCCAACGCCGACGGCCACACGAAGAACGUAUCAGCGAUCAAGCAGCUCACAGGCGGCGCCGCCUCCGCCACCACCCUCUCCACCAACUCCUCCACGUGCGCCGAUAACACAUGCAACAACGCCGCCAUGAACUGGUCGUGGUUCAGCGACCUGUCGAACCCCACCGGAAGCCCAUCGGAAACCGUCGUGUACCGAAUGUCCAGACCCGCCUCCCGAGAUCCGGAGAAGAUGUCAUCGCUUCCGGCGCCUUGGGCUCUGGAGGUUUGUUGGUGGAUGGAGAGGGUGUUAACGAAGGUGAUGGUGAAGCCUCUGGAGGCGAGGUUGAUGGCCAGAUGGACGGCGGGGAUUACGUGGCCUUGGAGAGGGUAGGCUACGAGGAUGGCAUGGGGGUUUUGAUGGGUGGACGCCAUUGUUGUGAGCUUUGAGUUGCAGAGGGAGAAGACUCGGGGCGGUUUUAUGUAGAGCUCAGAAUUUGAGUUGACCAGGAAAAGGCCAUAUGAAAGCGAGUCUCUUUCAUGGGUGUGUUUUUUUUUUUUUCCUUUUUUAGUUAAUUAAUAUUGGCCAAGACUUGCCUCUUUCACCUACAUGACUAGACAACAAUGGCCUUAAUUAAAAAUUGUCUCAAUUCCCCGGUAAGUAUCCAUUCCUUCGGAGUCAAAGGAAAGGGAGCUAGUCUUCCCUUUCCUUGGGAAUCUAAUUACCUAAUUAAUUAGAACAUGUCUACUGAUCAUAAUGUGAUAGUAGAGUAGUCUAUUGCAAAGAUGACUCGUGAGCACGUUGCAAAUUAACGUGUAGUGCGGGAGGUUUGGGAAAGAGGACAAGUACCUGAAGUUGUAUAGAAUGGGAAUGGAUAACUACAAAACUUGAUGUGAGCAACUGAAACUGUACACCUGGGGAGAGGGAGCCGGCCAUUCAGAGAAAUAGGAGGAAGGAGAGGACAAUCACAACAUCAGUUUGAUCAAAUUCUUAUAGAUGAGUAGUCUCCAAGAUGAGGUCAUAGCUUCCCAGGCCCUACCCAGGUUGCCAAGCGGCCGACAGUGGCAUGGUUUUGUGUCUUUCUCUUUCACUCCUCCCAAACAAGUUUGUAAAGGAUUUUGGCAUGUAACCUAAUAGGUAUAAAAAAGAUUCAGAUGGUAGGAAAGUUAUCCAAAAUGGAUGGUUCUUUUCACUGAUAACAAUCACCUCUUCUUACCAGUCAUGGCCAGGAAUUAAUAACCCAAAGCAUAUGCAUGGGAGUGGAUGUGAUGGUCGAAGAAUCCUCAUGGUGGUAAUUUGUGGCUCCCAUGAAGGUCCUCUGUUGAAAUUCAAAUAAAUUUACAAGGUUUGUUUCAUUCAUUUUCAUUUUGACUAAAUAUACUUAAUGUUUGAAAUUUCAUCAAAUGUCUCUUUUAUUAUUUUCAUGAUAAAAGACGUAUUAGAUAACAUCUCGAAUGGAUGAAAUUUAGACGUAUAUAACCAAAAUCUUAAAGGGAUAUGAAUGAAAUCAACUCUAAAUUUUCCCCACCUAUACAACAUCGAUGUUGGAAACCCAAUAAAAUUUGGUUUAUAAAAGGUCCUCUUUGAUUUACAUAUGAGAAAUUUGGAUUAAUUUUAUUAAAAUAUAUAGCUUUUAAUAAAUAAAAAUAUAGUUUAAUAUUAAGAUUAGAAAAAUGAUAUUUAAUAUUUUCACAUGUAAGAUAUCAAACUUCCAUAUAUUUAAUGAAAAUUUUAUAUUAUUGGUAUUACUUUUUAAAAAAUUUUAAACUUCCACAAAAAACAAUUUGACAACCAAAAACUGUGUUUGAAAAAGAAUAUUUUCAGAGAAAAUCUUUUAGUUGUUUUGAAAAAUAAAUAAAUUGGUAUGACACAUUUAAUUACAUAAUUUAUUAAUUAUAAAUAUUUUAUAAGGUGAAUUGAUAUUAAUAAGCUAUGUCAAAUAGAAUAAAUAAAAUAAAAUAGGGUGUUUAUGGAAUAAAAUAGGCUACGUGUUUUUCAUUACUUAAAUGUACCUUAAUGAUCUUAAUUUUAACUAAAUGCAAACCCAUGUGACUUUUGUGUCAUUGUGAACUUAAUAGAUGACCAUGCUCAAGAAAGGUAUAGACAAAAAAAAUUAUUAUUUUAAUUAUUUUCAAAUAUCAUUUUUUCUUUAGUAUGAUUUUAAAUAAAAAAAUGUGAUAAAAUAAAAUAACAAAAGGCAAUGUAUAAUUUUCAAAUUAUGUAAUAUAUUUGAAAAAAUUAUAUCAUUUUCAAUAAUAUGAUAUUAUUCCAUUAAUAAAUCUCUCUUCUAUUGAAAAUUAAAAUGUUAGUGGAAAAAAUAGAAUAUAAUUUUAUUAAUACAUAUUCUUUUUAUAACUAUUGGGUGUCAUGUAUGUUGCAUGUAAGAUGCACAUAAGUAAUGUAUAUUAGUGUGUAGGAUUUGAGUUUAUGUAUUUAAUCAUAUUACUUUGUCUUUAUUAUAUUUGUUUACAUUAUAAUUUAUUAAUAUGUAGAAAUAACUCUAUUACUUUGAAGUCAGAUUAAUUAUUUCUUUGAAUCUAGAUGAAUUUAGAUAAAACCUAAAAGAGUCUAAAUGAAGUAUUUAAUCUAGUUCUAAAUUUUUGAAUAAAAUAGUUAUGAAAGGAAAACAUAGGGGAUAAGAGGUUACUUAGCUGAAAAACAAAAAUAUUAAAAUUAAUUAAAUUAUUAUCUCCAUUUCCUUUCGUACUAAUGUCAACAUUGAUAUAUCAAUUUACCUUCUUUUUUUUUCAUUUUCUCAAGCCAUCCAUUGAUCAACCUCUUUUCCUGUUCUACCCAUUUUUCGAGUUUUUUUUGCCAUUGUUAUUAGUUUGUCGCCUUUCAAAAGCUUUUUCUUGGCAUCAUUCUCCAUCUUUGUGGCCAUCUUGGCCUGCUUUUCGGUUUCCACUAGUUUGGCAUGCUAGAUUUUAAUUUAGUCAUUUCUUCCAUCUUCAAUAAAAACUUUUUGGCAUUUUAAGACUACUUUGUAAAACUUAGAGAAACUACUAUUUUGAGAAGUAUUAUCAAAACAAUCUUCUUUUAUAAAAAAAAUAAAAUGCUAGUAGAAAAAAUAGAAUAUAAUUUCAUUACUAAAAAAAAACAGAUUAUUAAAUUAAUGGGAUUAUUUUUUUGUAUAUAGUAAAUUCNNNNNNNNNNNNNNNNNNNNNNNNNNNNNNNNNNNNNNNNNNNNNNNNNNNNNNNNNNNNNNNNNNNNNNNNNNNNNNNNNNNNNNNNNNNNNNNNNNNNAAGAUUUACUAUAUUUUUCUUGUAAUUGUUUGAGAUUUGAUACUUUGGGUUGUGUUUGUUUAAGAUUUGCUACUUCAUAUUGUAUUUGUAUAUAAUUGCUUCUUGUGUGGUUGUUAUAUCUCCCUUUUAUAACUAGUGGGUGUUAAGUAUGUUGCACAUAAGGUGCAUAUAAGUGAUAGAACAUAUUCUCUAAUGGUAUGAUUCAACAACUUAUUCAACUGACGCACUUGAGGGUUGAAGAAUGCCAUCGAAUUGAAGAUAUUAUCAAGGAAUCUGAGAAUACACAACUAGAAAACCAAGCACAUCCAAAGUUGGAGACCCUUGAACACAUUCAUUUGCCACAACUAACAAGCAUUUGGGCUAAAGAUUCAUUAAAGUGACCAUCUUUAUAAGAAGUUGAGAUAUCUAAGUGUUUCUUGUUGAAGAGUUUACCUUUCAACACGGUCAAUGCAACCAAAUUGAGAUCCAUUGAAGGACAACAAUUAUGGUGGAAAGCACUAGAAUGGAAAGAUGAUGCCAUUAAACAAAGGUUACAACCUCUUUGCAUCAUCAACUAGCUCAUUUGAUUUCAUCUCCAAUGCGUUUUAUUGUAAAGCGAAUCAGGAUAGUUGCUGUUGCUGAGACAAAGUAAGUUUGUGUGCAGGAUUCAAAAACUUUGGCUGCACUUGCUUGAGAUUUACUAUAUUUUUCUUGUAAUUGUUUGAGAUUUGAUACUUUGGGUUGUGUUUGUUUAAGAUUUGCUACUUCAUAUUGUAUUUGUAUAAAAUUGCUUCUUGUGUGGUUGUUAUAUCUCCCUUUUAUAACUAGUGGGUGUUAAGUAUGUUACACAUAAGGUGCACAUAAGUGAUAGAAGAUAUUCUCUAAUGGUAUGAUUCAACAACUUAUUCAACUGACGCACUUGAGGGUUGAAGAAUGCCAUCGACUUGAAAAGAUUAUCAUGGAAUCUGAGAAUACACAACUAGAAAACCAAGCACUUCAAAAGUUGGAGACCUAUAACUCAUUCAUCUCCCAUAACUAACAAGCAUUUGGGCUAAAGAUACAUUAAAGUGGCCAUUUUUACAAGAAGUUGAGAUAUAUAAGUGUUUCUUAUUAAAGAGUUUACCUUUCAACACGGUCAAUGCAACCAAAUUGAGAUCCAUUGAAGGACAACAAUUAUGGCGGGAAGCAAUAGAAUGGAAAGAUGACGCCAUUAAACAAAUAUUACAGCCUCUUUGCAUCCUAAACUAGCUCCUUUGAUUUCAUCUCCUAUGUGUUUUAUUGUAAAGCGAAUCAGGAUAGUUGCUGCUGCUGAGACAAAGUAAGUUUGUGUGCAGGAUUCAAAAACUCUGGCUUGCACUUGCUCGAGAUUUACUAUCUUUUUCUUGUAAUUGUUUGAGAUUCGAUACUUUGGGUUGUGUUUGUUUAAGAUUUGCUACUUCAUAUUGUAUUUGUGUAUGAUUGCUUCUUGUGUGGCUGUUAUAUCUCCCUUUUAUAACUACUGGGUGUUAAGUAUGUUGCACAUAAGGUGCACAUAAGUGAUGGAAGAUAUUCUCUAAUGGUAUGAUUCAACAACUUAUUUAACUGACGCACUUGAGGGUUGAAGAAUGCCAUCGAAUUGAAGAGAUUAUCAUGGAAUCUGAGAAUACACAACUAGAAAACCAAGCACUUCCAAAGUUGGAGACCCUAGAACUCAUUCAUCUGCUACAACUAACAAGCAUUUGGGUUGAAGAUUUAUUAAAGUGGUCAUCUUUACAAGAAGUUGAGAUAUCUAAUUGUUUGUUGUUGAAGAGUUUACUAUUCAACACGGUCAAUGCAACCAAAUUGAAAUCCAUUGAAGGGCAACAAUUAUGGUGGGAAGCACUAGAACGGAAAGAUGAUGCCAUUAAACAGAGAUUACAGCAUCUUUGCAUCCUCAACUCGCUCCUUUGAUUUCAUCUCCUAUGCGUUUUAUUGUAAAGCGAAUCAGGAUAGUUGCUGCUAUUGAGACAAAGUAAGUUUGUGUGAAGGAUUCAAAAACCCUGUCUUGCACUUGCUUGAGAUUUACUAUCUUUUUUUUGUAAUGGUUUGAGAUUUGAAACUUUGGGUUGUGUUCGUUUAAGAUUUGGUACUUCAUAUUGUAUUUGUGUAUGGUUGCUUCUUAUGUGGUUGUUAUAUCUCUCUUUUAUAACUAUUGGGUUUCAAGUAUGUUGCACAUAAGGUGCACAUAAGUGAUAGAAGAUAUUUUCUAAUGGUAUGAUUCAACAACUUAGUCAACUGACGCACUUGAGGGUUGAAGAAUGCCAUCGAAGUGAAGAGAUUAUCAUGGAAUCUGAGAUUACACAACUAGAAAACCAAGAACUUCCAAAGUUGGAGACCCUAGUACUCAUUCAUCUGCCACAACUAACAAGCAUUUGGGCUAAAGAUUCAUUAAAGUGGCCAUCUUUACAAGAAGUUGAGAUAUUUAUGUUUUUCUUGUUGAAGAGUUUACCUUUCAACAAGGUCAAUGCAACCAAAUUGAGAUCCAUUGGAAGGCAACAAUUAUUGUAGGAAGCACUAGAAUGGAAAGAUGAUUCCAUUAAACAAAGAUUACAGCCUCUUUGCAUCCUCAACUAGCUCAUUUGAUUUCAUCUUCUAUGCAUUUUAUUGUAAAGGGAAUCAGGAUAGUUGUUGCUGCUGAGAUAAAGUAAGCUUGUGUGCAGGAUUCAAAAACUCUGGCUUGCACUUGCUUGAGAUUUACUAUAUUUUUCUUGUAAUUGUUUGAGAUUUGAUACUUUUGGUGUUGUUUUUUUAAGAUUUGCUACUUCAUAUUGUAUUUGUGUAUGAUUGCUUCUUGUGUGGCUGUUAUAUCUCGCUUUUAUAACUAGUGGGUGUUAAGUAUGUUGCACAUAAGGUGCACAUAAGUGAUGGAAGAUAUUCUUUAAUGUUAUGAUUCAACAACUUAUUCAACGGACGCACUUGAGAGUUGAAGAACUCGAUCGAAUUGAGGAGAUUAUCAUGGAAUCUAAUAUUACACAACUAGAAAACAAAUCACUUCCAAAGUUGCAGACCCUAGAACACAUUCAUCUACCACAACUAACAAGCAUUUAAGCUAAAGAUUCAUUAAAAUGGCCAUCUUUACAAGAAGUUGAGAUAUGUAUGUGUUUCUUGUUGAAGAGGUUACCUUUCAACAAGGUCAAUGCAACCAAAUUGAGAUCCAUUGAAGGGCAACAAUUAUGGUGGGAAUCACUAGAAUGGAAAGAUGAUAUCAUUAAACAAAUAUUACAACCUCUUUGCAUCCUCAACUAGGUCCUUUGAUUUCAUCUCCUAUGAGUUUUAUUGUAAAGCGAAUCAGGAUAGUUGCUGUUGCUGACACAAAGUAAGUUUGUGUGCAGGAUUCAAAAACUCUAGCUUGCACUUGCUUGAGAUUUGCUAUCUUUUUCUGGUAAUUGUUUGAGAUUUGAUACUUUGGGUUGUGUUUGUUUAAGAUUUGCUACUUCAUAUUGUAUUUGUGUAUGAUUGCUUCUUGUAUGGCUGUUAUAUCUCCCUUUUAUAACUAGUGGGUGUUAAGUAUGUUGCACAUAAGGUGCACAUAAGUGAUAGAAGAUCUUCCCUAAUGGUAUGAUUCAUCAAGCUAUUCAACUGACGCACUUGAGGGUUGAAGAAUGGCAUCGAAUUGAAGAGAUUAUCAUGGAAUCUGAGAAUACACAACUAGAAAACCAAGCACUUCCAAAGUUGGAGAUCCUAGAACUCAUUCAUCGUCCAAUACUAAUAAGCAUUUGGGCUAAAGAUUCAUUAAAGUGACCAUCUUUACAAGAAGUUGAGAUAUUUAAGUGUUUCUUGUUGAAGAGUUUACCUUUCAACACGGUCAAUGCAACCAAAUUGAGAUCCAUUGAAGGGCAACAAUUAUGGUAGGAAGCACUAGAAUGGAAAGUUGAUGCCAUUAAACAAAUAUUACAACCAAGGAUUGAAAUAUCGGUUUUUACGGAUAUAUCGGUACUUCAAUUUUACGGAUAUAUCGGAAAUAUCGGAGAAAUAUCGGUGGAUAUUUUUUCAUAAAUAUCGAUGGAGUGAAAAUUAUUUAAAAUUAAUAGGAAUGCUUGAAAAAACUUCAAAAAAUGAUAACAUAAGUAAGAAUACACAUUUUAAAGUUAUCUUGUAAGUGUAAUUGAUAUAUAUAUAAUUAAGAAGAAAAAUAUCGUAAAUAGAGAUAUAUUGGUAGAUUCGAUAUUUGAAUUUUAAAAAUAAUAUAUAUGAAUUUUGAAAGUGUAUAAAGUUAAAAUUGAGUUAAGAAAUAUGAGAUUGCAAUAGUCCUUAUACUAAGAAAGAUAUCGAUGUAGUUUCAAUAUAUUAUUAGAUGAAGGGAGUUCAUCUUGUUGAAGACAGUAUUUAUUUUAAAAUUUUUAAAAUAUUUUUAUUAAAACAUAUUUUAUUAUAUUUUAAAUGAAAAAUUAAAUUAAUUUAUAUAAAAUAUCUUAUUUGAGAUUUAAUUUUUAAAAUUUUAUUAAAAAUAUGUGAUAAUAACUUUUUCUAUUAAUAUUAAUUUAUUUAAUAAUAAAAAUAAAGGUUGAUAAUUAAUAAUUAUUUAUAUAGAGAGUGGAAAAUUGUUCUCAUGAUUUUUUUACAUAUUUUAUUAUAUUUUAAAUGAUAAAUUAAAUUAAUUUAUAUAAAAUAUCUUAUUUGAGAUUUAAUUUUUAAAAUUUAUUAAAAAAUGUGAUAACAACUUUUUUUAUUAAUAUAAAUUUAUUUAAUAAUCCAAAUAAAAGUUGAAAAUUAAUAAUUAUUUAUAGAAAAUUGUUCUCAUGUUUUUUUUAUUUUUUAUUUUUUAUUUUUUUAUCUCCCCUAAAUCUAAAAAUAAAAAAAAAAUAAAAAAGGCACCCACUUCUCUCUCGGGCAUCAAGAACCCUUUUCUGAAGGUGUCUUCCAGCGAGAGAAUCCCUAAAAAGCCCUAUUUUCCUCUGCUACUCUCAAAUCUCAAUCCUCGCAGGUACUAAUCUAAUCAUGUUAUUAUUAAUUUUUUUUUUGCAACCCCCGUUUGAUUCCCAAGAAAAUCCAUCCCCAUUCGAUUUCCGGGAAAAUUCAUCCUCGUUUGAUUUCCGAGAAAAUCCAUUCAAAACUCCCAAAGAAAACCAAAAAAAUUGCUUUUCUUUUGCUCCCUGUGUUUUCUGGAUCUGUUUUAGGGGUCUCUUUGCUGUUGUGCCAUUGGAUUUAAAUUUCACGAACCCUAAAUCCACGAUUUUUGAGCCAGGCUGAAAAACACAACUGCGCGGGCUGGACUGGUAGGAAAUAUCGCGAUUUUUCUCCGAUUUUUCGGUGCUUCACCGAUAUUUCGCCGAUAUAUCGGCGAUUUUGUCGAUUUUUGGCCGAUUUUUCCGUCGAUCGAUAAUCGGUGCCGUUUAUCGUUUCCAUGCCGCCCGAUAACCGAUAUUUCGACGAAAUAUCGGCGACAUUUUCCGAUUUUUCAAUCCAUGAUUACAACCUCUUUGCAUUCUCAACUAGCUCAUUUGAUUUCAUCUCCUAUGCGUUUUAUUGUAAAGCGAAUCAGGAUAAUUGUUGCUGCUGAGACAAAGUAAGUUUUGGUGAAGGAUUCAAAAACUCUGGCUUGCACUUGCUUGAGAUUUACUAUCUUUUUCUGGUAAUUGUUUGAGAUUUGAUAUUUUGGGUUGUGUUUGUUUAAGAUUUGCUACUUCAUAUUGUAUCUAUGUAUGAUUGCUUCUUGUAUGGUUGUUAUAUAUCCCUUUUAUAACUGGUGGGUGUUAAGUAUGUUGCACAUAAGGUGCACAUAAGUGAUAGAAGAUAUUAUCUAAUGGUAUGAUUCAUCAACUUAUUCAACUGGCGCACUUGAGAGUUGAAGAAUGCCAUCGAAUUGAAGAGAUUAUCAUGGAAUAUGAGAAUACACAACUAGGAAACAAAGCACUUCCAAAGUUGGAGACCCUAGAACUUAUUCAUCUUCCACAACUAACAAGCAUUUGGGCUAAAGAUUCAUUAAAGUGGCCAUCUUUACAAGAAGUUGAGAUAUUUAAGUGUUUCUUGUUGAAGAGUUUACCUUUCAACACGGUCAAUGCAACCAAAUUGAGAUCCAUUGAAGGGCAACAAUUAUGGUGGGAAGCACUAGAAGGGAAAGAUAAUGCCAUUAAACAAAGAUUACAACUUCUUUGCAUCCUCAACUAGCUCCUUUGAUUUCAUCUCCUAUGCGUUUUAUUGUAAAACGAAUCAGGAUAGUUGCUGCUGCUAAGACAAAGUAAGUUUGUGUGCAAGAUUCAAAAACUCUAGGUUGCACUUUCCUGAGUUUUACUAUCUUUUUCUUGUAAUUGUUUGAGAUUUGAUACUUUGGGUUGUGUUUGUUUAAGAUUUGCUACUUCAUACUGUAUUUGUGUAUUGUUGCUUCUUGUGUGGUUGUUAUAUCUUUCUUUUAUAACUAGUGGGUGUUAAGUAUGUUGCACAUAAGGUGCACAUAAGUGAUAGAAGAUAUUUUCUAAUGGUAUGAUUCAACAACUUAUUCAACUGACGCACUUGAAGGUUGAAGAAUGCCAUCGAAUUGAAGAGAUUAUCAUGGAAUCUGAGAAUACACAACUAGAAAACCAAGCACUUCCAAAGUUGGAGACCCUAGAACUCAUUCAUCUGCCACAACUAACAAGCAUUUGGGCUAAAGAUUCAUUAAAGUGGCCAUCGUUAUAAGAAGUUGAGAUAUCUAAUUUUUUCUUGUUGAAGAGUUUACCUUUCAACAAGGUCAAUGCAACCAAAUUGAGAUCCAUCGGAGGGCAACAAUUAUUGUGGGAAACACUAGAAUGGAAAGAUGAUUCCAUUAAACAAAGAUUACAACCUUUUUGCAUCCUCAACUAGCUCAUUUGAUUUCAUCUCCUAUGCGUUUUAUUGUAAAGCGAAUUAGAAUAAUUGCUGCUGCUGAGACAAAGUAAGUUUGUGUGCAGGAUUCAAAAACUUUGGCUUGCACUUGCUUGAGAUUUAUUAUCUUUUUCUUGUAAUUGUUUGAGAUUUGAUACUUUGGGUUGUGUUUGUUUAAGAUUUGCUACUUCAUAUUGUAUUUGUAUAUGAUUGCUUCUUGUGUGGUUGUUAUAUCUCCCUUUUAUAAGUAGUGGGUGUUAAGUAUGUUGCACAUAAGGUGCACAUAAGUGAUAGAAGAUAUUCUCUAAUGGUAUGAUUCAACAACUUAUUCAACUGACGCACUUGAGGGUUGAAGAAUGCCAUCGACUUGAAAAGAUUAUCAUGGAAUCUGAGAAUACACAACUAGAAAACCAAGCACUUCCAAAGUUGGAGAUCCUAGAACUCAUUCAUCUGCCACAACUAACAAGCAUUUGGGCUAAAGAUUCAUUAAAGUGGCCAUCUUUACAAGAAGUUGAGAUAUCUAAGUGUUUCUUGUUGAAGAGUUUACCUUUCAACAUGGUCAAUGCAACCAAAUUGAGAUCUAUUGAAGGGCAAUAAUUAUGGUGGGAAGUACUAGAAUGGAAAGAUGAUGCCAUUAAAUAAAGAUUAUAGCCUCUUUGCAUCCUCAACUAGCUCCUUUGAUUUCAUCUCCUAUGCGUUUUAUUGUAUAGCUAAUGCGGAUAGUUGCUACUAUUGAGACAAAGUAAGUUUGUGUGUAGGAUUCAAAAACUUUGGCUUGCACUUGCUUGAGAUUUACUAUCUUUUUCUCAUAUUUGUUUUAGAUUUGAUACUAUGGGUUGUGUUUGUUUAAGAUUUGCUACUUCAUAUUGUAUUUGUGUAUGAUUUCUUCUUGUGUGGUUGUUAUAUCUCUAUAAAUCUUACCUAAGGAUCAUAGAUUGAAAAUCUUAAGCUUUAUUUGGUUAUAGAAAAGUACUAAAGGAAGAGGAAAAUGAUUUUCUCAUGUUUGGUUUAAAAUUAUUUUCUUUAUAUAGAUGAGAAAAAAGAAAGUAAAAAGAGUUCAAAAUAGCAUAUGAAGAUAAUUUGUCGACUUUAAAUUUUUUUUUUUUCACUUUUCUUUUCUUUCACUUUUCGCCUCCAUUUCAACUUCUACUAGUACGUUCAUGCUAGAUUUUAAUUCAGUCAUUUCUUCUGUUUUCAUAAAAACCUUCAACAUUUUAACUUGGAAAGACUACUUUUGAUGGAAUAACGACAAGUCAUCUUCUCGACCAAACCAACGUAUAUGUUAAAUUCGAUCAUAGUUCUGAUCGAUGACACUCGUUUACUCCCUUAACCAUGUUGUAUUCACACUUGCCCCUAACUUCUUUUUUAAGUAUGACAAUAAAGUUUUGUUGGAAAGUUCUACUUGCCUGUUAGAACUAUUUGAAAAAAUAAGUCCCUUUUAUAGGAAAUUAAAUUACUAAUAGAAAAAAUAUAAUAUAAUUUCAUUACUAGAUCUCCCUUUUAUAACUAGUGGGUGUUAAGUAUGUUGCACAUAAGNNNNAAGGUAAACUCUUACAUAAGAAACACUUAUAUAUUUCAACUUCUGGUAAAAAUGGCCACUUUAAUGUAUCUUUAGCCCAAAUGCUUGUUAGUUAUGGGAGAUGAAUGAGUUAUAGGUCUCCAACUUUUGAAGUGCUUGGUUUUCUAGUUGUGUAUUCUCAGAUUCCAUGAUAAUCUUUUCAAGUCGAUGGCAUUCUUCAACCCUCAAGUGCGUCAGUUGAAUAAGUUGUUGAAUCAUACCAUUAGAGAAUAUCUUCUAUCACUUAUGUGCACCUUAUGUGUAACAUACUUAACACCCACUAGUUAUAAAAGGGAGAUAUAACAACCACACAAGAAGCAAUUUUAUACAAAUACAAUAUGAAGUAGCAAAUCUUAAACAAACACAACCCAAAGUAUCAAAUCUCAAACAAUUACAAGAAAAAUAUAGUAAAUCUUAAGCAAGUGCAAGCCAAAGUUUUUGAAUCCUGCACACAAACUUAGUUUGUCUCAGCAGCAUCAACUAUCCUGAUUCGCUUUACAAUAAAACGCAUAGGAGAUGAAAUCAAAGGAGGUAGUUGAGGAUUUAAAGAGGUUGUAAUUUUUGUUUAAUGACAUCAUCUUUCCAUUCUAGUGCUUCCCACCAUAAUUGUUGCCCUUCAAUGGAUCUCAAUUUUGUUGCAUUGACCAUGUUGAAAGGUAAACUCUUUAAUAAGAAACACUUAUAUAUCUCAACUUCUUGUAAAAAUGGCCACUUUAAUGUAUCUUUAGCCCAAAUGCUUGUUAGUUAUGGGAGAUGAAUGAGUUAUAGGUCUCCAACUUUUGAAGUGCUUGGUUUUCUAGUUGUGUAUUCUCAGAUUCCAUGAUAAUCUUUUCAAGUCGAUGGCAUUCUUCAACCCUCAAGUGCGUCAGUUGAAUAAGUUGUUGAAUCAUACCAUUAGAGAAUAUCUUCUAUCACUUAUGUGCACCUUAUGUGCAACAUACUUAACACCCACUACUUAUAAAAGGGAGAUAUAACAACCACACAAGAAGCAAUCAUACACAAAUACAAUAUGAAGUAGCAAAUCUUAAACAAACACAACCCAAAGUAUCAAAUCUCAAACAAUUACAAGAAAAAUAUAGUAAAUCUCAAGCAAAUGCAAGCCAAAGUUUUUGAAUCCUAAACACAAACUUAAUUUUUCUCAGCAAUAGCAACUAUCCUGAUUCGCUUUACAAUAAAACGCAUUGGAGAUGAAAUCAAAUGAGCUAGUUGAGGAUGUAAAGAGGUUGUAAUAUUUGUUUAAUUGCAUCAUCUUUCCAUUCUAGUGCUUUCCACCAUAAUUGUUGCCCUUCAAUGGAUCUCAAUUUGGUUCCAUUGACCUUGUUUAAAGGUAAACUCUUGAACAAGAAACACUUAUAUAUCUCAACUUCUUGUAAAGAUGGCCACUUUAAUGAAUCUUUAACCCAAAUGCUUGUUAGUUGUGGCAGAUGAAUGAGUUUUAGGGUCUCCAACUUUGUAAGUGUUUGGUUUUCUAGUUGUGUAUUCUCAGAUUCCAUGAUAAUCUGUUCAAUUCAAUGGCAUUCUUCAACCCUCAAGUGCGUCAGUUGAAUAAGUUGUUGAAUCAUACCAUUAGGGAAUAUCUUCUAUCACUUAUGUGCACCUUAUGUGCAACAUACUUAAUACCCACUAGUUAUAAAAAAGUGAUAUAACAACCACACAAGAAGCAGUCAUAUACAAAUACAAUAUGAAGUAGCAAAUCUUAAACAAACACAACCCAAAGUAUCAAAUCUCAAACAAUUACAAGAAAAAUAUAGUAAAUCUCAAGCAAGUGCAAACCAAAGUUUUUGAAUCCUGCACACAAACUUACUUUGUCUCAGCAGCAGCAACUAUCCUGAUUCGCUUUACAGUAAAACGCAUAAGAGAUGAAAUCAAAUGAGCUAGUUGAGGAUGCAAAGAGGUUGUAACCUUUGUUUAAUGGCAUCAUCUUUCCAUUCUAGUGCUUCCCACCAUAAUUGUUGUCCUUCAAUUGAUCUCAAUUUGGUUGCAUUGACCGUGUUGAAAGGUAAACUCUUCAACAAGAAACACUUAGAUAUCUCAAAUUUUUAUAAAGAUGGCCACUUUAAUGAAUCUUUAGCCCAAAUGCUUGUUAGUUGUGGCAGAUGAAUGUGUUCUAGGGUCUCCAACUUUGGAAGUGCUUGGUUUUCUAGUUGUGUAUUCUCAAAUUCCAUGAUAAUAUCUUCAAUUCGAUGGCAUUCUUCAACCCUCAAGUGCGUCAGUUGAAUAACUUGUUGAAUCAUACCAUUAGAGAAUAUUUUCUAUCACUUAUGUGCACCUUAUGUGCAACAUACUUAGCACCCACUAGUUAUAAAAAAAAAAUAUAACAACCACACAAUAAGCAAUCAUNNNNNNNNNNNNNNNNNNNNNNNNNNNNNNNNNNNNNNNNNNNNNNNNNNNNNNNNNNNNNNNNNNNNNNNNNNNNNNNNNNNNNNNNNNNNNNNNNNNNNNNNNNNNNNNNNNNNNNNNNNNNNNNNNNNNNNNNNNNNNNNNNNNNNNNNNNNNNNNNNNNNNNNNNNNNNNNNNNNNNNNNNNNNNNNNNNNNNNNNNNNNNNNNNNNNNNNNNNNNNNNNNNNNNNNNNNNNNNNNNNNNNNNNNNNNNNNNNNNNNNNNNNNNNNNNNNNNNNNNNNNNNNNNNNNNNNNNNNNNNNNNNNNNNNNNNNNNNNNNNNNNNNNNNNNNNNNNNNNNNNNNNNNNNNNNNNNNNNNNNNNNNNNNNNNNNNNNNNNNNNNNNNNNNNNNNNNNNNNNNNNNNNNNNNNNNNNNNNNNNNNNNNNNNNNNNNNNNNNNNNNNNNNNNNNNNNNNNNNNNNNNNNNNNNNNNNNUCAGUUGAAUAAGUUGUUGAAUCAUACCAUUAGAGAAUAUUUUCUAUCACUUAUGUGCACCUUAUGUGCAACAUACUUAGCACCCACUAGUUAUAAAAAAAAAAUAUAACAACCACACAAUAAGCAAUCAUAUACAAAUACAAUAUGAAAUAGAAAAUCUUAAAGAAACACAACGCAAAGUAUCAAAUCUCAAACAAUUACCAGAAAAAGAUAGUAAAUCUCAAGCAAGUGCAAACCAGAGUUUUUUAAUCCUUCACACAAACUUACUUUGUCUUAGCAAUAGCAACUAUCAUGAUUCGUUUUACAAUAAAACGCAUAGGAGAUCAAAUCAAAUGAGCUAGUUGAGGAUGCAAAGAGGUUGUAAUCUUUGUUUAAUGGCAUCAUCUUUCCAUUCUAGUGCUUCCCACCAUGGUUGUUGCCCUUCAAUGGAUGAUCUCAAUUUGGUUGCAUUGACCUUGUUGAAAGGUAAACUCUUCAACAAGAAACACUUAGAUAUCUCAACUUCUUGUAAAGAUGACCACUUUAAUGAAUCUUUAGCCCAAAUGCUUGUUAGUUGUGGCAAAUGAAUGUGUUCUCGGGUCUGCAAGUUUGGAAGUGCUUGGUUUUCUAGUUGUGUAUUCUUAGAUUCCAUGAUAAUCUCUUCAAUUCGAUGGCAUUCUUCAACUCUCAAGUGCGUCAGUUAAAUAAGUUGUUGAAUUAUACCAUUAGAGAAUAUCUUCCAUCACUUAUGUGCACCUUAUGUGCAACAUACUUAACACCCAGUAGUUAUAAAAGGAAGAUAUAACAGCCACACAAGAAGCAAUCAUACACAAAUACAAUAUGAAGUAGCAAAUCUUAAACAAACACAACCCAAAGUAUCAAAUCUAAAACAAUUACAAGAAAAAGAUAGUAAAUCUCCAGCAAGUGCAAGCCAGAGUUUUUGAAUCCUGCACACAAACUUACUUUGUCUCAGCAGCAGCAACUAUCCUGAUUCGCUUUACAAUAAAACGCACAAGAAAUGAAAUGAAGUGAGCUAGUUCAGGAUGCAAAGAGGUUGUAAUAUUUUUUUAAUGGCAUCAUCUUUCCAUUCUAGUGCUUCUCACCAUAAUUGUUGCCCUUCAAUGGAUCUCAAUUUGGUUGCAUUGACCUUGUUGAAAGGUAAACUCUUCAACAAGAUACACUUAGCCCAAAUGAAUCUUUGUAAAGAUGACCACUUUAAUGAAUCUUUAGCCCAAAUGUUUGUUAGUUGUGGCAGAUGAAUGAGUUAUAGGGUCUCCAACUUUGGAAGUGCUGUGUUUUCUAGUUGUGUAUUCUCAGAUUACAUGAUAAUCUCUUCAAUUCGAUGACAUUCUUCAACUCUCAAGUGCGUCAGUUGAAUAAGUUGUUGAAUCAUACCAUUAGAGAAUAUCUUUUAUCACUUAUGUGCAUCUUAUGUGCAACAUACUUUACACCCACUAGUUAUAAAAGGGAGAUAUAACAACACACAAGAAGCAAUCAUACACAAAUACAAUAUGAAGUAGCAAAUCUUAAAGAAACACAACGCAAAGUAUCAAAUCUCAAACAAAUACAAGAAAAAUAUAGUAAAUCUCAAGCAAGUGCAAGCUAGAGUUUUUGAAUCCUUCACACAAACUUACUUUGUCUCAGCAGCAGCAACUAUCCUGAUUCGCUUUACAAUAAAACGCAUAGGAAAUGAAAUCAAAUGAGCUAGUUGAGGAUGCAAAGAGGCUAUAAUCUUUGUUUAAUGGCAUCAUCUUUCCAUUCUAGUGCUUCCCACCAUAAUUGUUGUCCUUCAAUGGAUCUCAAUUUGGUUGCAUUGAUCAUGUUGAAAGGUAAACUCUUCAACAAGAAACACUUAGAUAUCUCAACUUCUUGUAAAGAUGGCCACUUUAAUGAAUCUUUAGCCCAAAUGCUUGUUAGUUGUGGCAAAUGAGUUCUAGGGUCUCUAACGUUGGAAAUGCUUGGUUUUCUAGUUGUGUAUUCUCAAUUUUCAGGAUAAUAUCUUCAAUUCGAUGGCAUUCUUCAACUCUCAAGUGCAUCAGUUGAAUAAGUUGUUGAAUCAUACCAUUAGAGAAUAUCUUCUAUCACUUAUGUGCAUCUUAUGUGCAACAUACUUAACACCGACUAGUUAUAAAAGGGAGAUAUAACAACACACAAGAAGCAAUCAUACACAAAUACAAUAUGAAGUAGCAAAUCUUAAAGAAACACAACCCAACGUAUCAAAUCUCAAUUAAUUACAAGAAAAAGAUAGUAAAUCUCGAGCAAGUGCAAGCCAAAGUUUUUUAAUCCUGCACACAAACUUACUUUGUCUCAGCAGCUGCAACUAUCCUGAUUCGCUUUACAAUAAAACACAUAGGAGAUGAAAUCAAAGGAGCUAGUUUAGGAUGCAAAGAGGCUGUAAUAUUUGUUUAAUGGCAUCAUCUUUUCCGUUCUAGUGCUUCCCACUAUAAUUGUUGCCCUUCAAUGGAUCUCAAUUUGGUUGCAUUGACUUUGUUGAAAGGUAAACUCUUCAACAAGAAACACUUAGAUAUCUCAACUUCUUGUAAAGAUGGCCACUUUAAUGAAUAUUUAACCCAAAUGUUUGUUAGUUGUGGCAGAUGAAUGAGUUCUAGGGUCUCCAACUUUGGAAAUGCUUGGUUUUCUAGUUGUGUAUUAUCAGAUUCCAUGAUAAUUUCUUCAAUUCGAUGGCAUUCUUUAACUCUCAAGUGCGUCAGUUGAAUAAGUUGUUGAAUCAUACCAUUGGAGAAUAUCUUCUAUCACUUAUGUGCAACAUACUUUACACCCACUAGUUAUAAAAGAGAGAUCUGGUAAUGAAAUUAUAUUAUAUUUUUUCUAUUAGUAUUUUAAUUUCUUAUGAAAAGGGACUUAUUUUUUCAAAUAGUUCUAACAGGCAAGUAGAACUUUCCAACAAAACUUUAUUGUCAUACUUGAAAAAGAAGUUAGGGGCAAGUGUGAAUACAACAUGGUAAUGGAGUAAAUGAGUGUCAUCGAUCAGAACUGUGAUUGAAUUUAGUACGUACACAUUGGUUUGGUCGAGUAGAUGACUUGUCGUUAUUCCAUCAAUUAGAUUGAUCUCGAUGUGCACAGAGGUCGUUUUCUAGCAUUGAAUACUACUUGACACGUUGGAACAAUUCAUCAAUCAAACUUGGAGGGUCCAACGAAAUAGAGUUAAAAAAUAGGGUAUUCUAUAAGAUAGUCUCCUUGAUGGUUUGCAUGAUGGUAUCCAUGCUUACACUAUCCAACUGAAGUAUUGCUCGUCCAAACAGUUUCAUGCUACUUUAGAUAGACUCAUUUCAUUACAUUUUUAUGUGGAACAAGUUGAUAAUACUUUAUUUUGCCCCUAACGGAACAUAAAUAAUGCGUGGUGAAUGUCUCAAAUAAUUGUUGAAACAAACUUAUAGAAUUGUGUGAAAGUCAAUGAAAUAUGAAAUGGUAGGUCUCUACAAAUUGGAUGAAAAAACUUUACAUCAUAAUGGAUUGUUAUUACUUUCUAAUGUCAUUAUCUAUUGAAAGUGUAUAAGAUGGUCUAAUGGAUCUGUUAUGACAUCAUAUAUGUUAAACUUUGGCAUGGAGAAGUCCCUCGACGCAUUGUAUCACAAUACGUGAGGGAUGAAUAGUGUCGAGGCUAUAUCGUUAAGAUACGGAAGGUCGAGUUAGACACCCGUAAUUGAAGUUGGUUAGGCAGAAUGGGUAUAUGUUAUGCUUGUUUUGAGAAUGAUUCUUAAAAUAGUAGCUUUUUCUAGGUUGCAUAAAAGUAGUAUUUCGAAGAUCAAAAUGUUGAAGGUUUUUAUGAAAACAGAAGAAAUGACUUAAUUAAAAUCUAGCAUGAACAUACUAGUAGAAGUUGAAAUGGAGGCCAAGACUGCUAUAAAGAUAGAAAAUGAUGCCAAUAAAAAGUUUUUGAAAGGCCACAAGUUGAUGAAAGGCAAAAAUAAAAAUAAAAAUAAUAGAAAAUUUGGUAGAGUAGGCGAAGAUGUCAUUGAGUAGAGGACUUGAAAAAAAUGAAGAAAAAGGUAAACAUAUACAAUGUUGACGGAAAUAGAGAUAACAAUUUUAUUAAUUUUUAAUAAUUUUGUUUUUUCAAUUAGGUAACUUAAACCUUUCUUAUCACUUAGGUUUUAUUUCUCAAUUAUUAUAUUCAAAAUUUUAGAAUUAGGAUGAAAUGCUUCAUUUUGACUAUCAAAGUUCUAUCUAAAUUCAUGUAACUUUGAAGAAAUAAUUGAUUUGAUUUCAAAAUAAUGAAAUUAUUUAUUCAUAUUAGUAAAUUCUAAUGUGAGAAAAUUUAAUAAAUACAAAGUACAACAAAUAUAAUAAAUACAAAAUAAUAUGUUUAAAUAUGUGAAUACAUAAGCACUCUAUGUGUAAAUUACACAUGACACCUAAUAAUUAUAAAAAUGGCCUAUUAAUGAAAUUAUAUUCUCUUUUUUUUUUUACUAAGAUUUUAAUUUCCUAUAAAAUAAACUUGUUUUGAGAAUGAUUUUAAAGAGUAGCUUUCUCUAGGUUUCACAAGAAUAGUAUUUCUAAAAUCAAAACGCCUGAAAGGUUUUUAUGAAGAUUAAAGAAAUUAUUGAAUUGAAAUCCAGCGUGCUCAGACUAGUAGAAGCUGGAGAGAAGAAGGCAAAGACUACCAUAAAGAUGGAGAAUGAUGCCAAGAAAAAGCUUUUGAAAGACUGCAACCUAAUGAUAAAGGUAAAAAAAAAAAAAAAGUAAAAAGUGGAAGAAUGGGUAUAACAUUGACAUUAGCAAAGUGGAGGAAACGAAAAAAACAAUUUAAUUCAUUUUUAAUAAUUUUGUUUUUUAGUUAAAUUACCUAAACAUCUCAUAUCCCUUGGGCUUUCUUUUCUCAAUUAUUUUAUUCAAAAUUUCAUAAUUAGGAUGAACUACACUUAUUUUAACUCUUGAAACUAAUCUCAAAGAAAUAAUUAAUCUUUGAAUAAAUAUAAUAAAUAUAAGGUAAUAUGAUUAAAUACGUAACUGACAUACACUUUAUGUAUGACAAAUGUAAAAUGAAAAAAAAAAUGGAAGAAGAAUGAAAAAAUGGGUAGAGAGGGAGAAAAGGCUGAUAAACAAACAAUUUGAGAAAAUGAAGAAAAAUGUGAAUGAAUACAACAUAGAUAAUAUACAUCUUCCUAUUUUAUUAUACAAAUUUAGAUAGAUGGUCAUAACAAUAUCUAGGGAUGGCAAUGGGGCGGGUCUUUUUGAAUACCUGCCCCACCCCGUCCCUAAUGAGACGGAGUUUAAUUUAAUAAAUGGGUUUGGGAUCGGUUUGAGAAUUUUUUUUAAAACCCGAGGCGGGUUCGGGUAUUGCCCCACCCCGCCCUGCCCCAAUUAUACAUAAAAUUAAAUUAAAUUUAUAAUUUAAAAUUAAUUUAAUUUAAUUUUUAUUUUAUUAUUUUUAAUAUACAAAUAAUAAAAAAAUAUUUUUAAUAAAAUAAUUUAUAAAAAAUAUAUAAUAAUUUAAUUAUUUAUAAAAUAUAUUUAUUUUAAUAUAAUUAAAAAGUAAUUUAAAAAUAAAAAAUUAAAAUUCGUCAGGGACGGGUAUGGGAAUUAUCAUACCCACCAUCUGCCUGCCCCACCCCGCCCUAUUUAAUUUUUUUAAAUGAAAUAGGUAUGAGAAUUGUUUCAAAUAAAUGGGGCGGGGUUGGGAUGAAGGCGACUCGUCAGGAACUAGUCUGCUACCAUCCCUAACAAUAUCUUCACAAACAUUGAAUUUUUUUAUAUUUUGUUCCUUUUUAUUUUCUCACAAAGCUUUCCCAUGUUGGCCUUAUCUUCUUCUAUAUAUCUAUCUUUCAUUAGUGUUUUCAAUAAUUUAUCAACAAUAAAAAAAUAAAAAUAAAAUAUAGAUAAUAAAAGUAUUGUAUAUAAAAUAGGAUUUUGUAGACCCCCAUUCUGGGCUUGCUUUUAUGCAGCCAUUUUUUAUAGGUGUUGCCAUCUUGGGUGGCCACGUGUCAAUCUCUGGUUGGCUGUUAGAGCACCAGAGUGGUGUUUUUGAUGGCCAGUGGGUGUGCGACACGUGUCCAAAGAAUCUGCAAAAAGCUGCAGACGGUUAGAGGAGUGGGGUGGCCAGCUGCUUGAUCUCUUUCCUGGCCGUUGGAGGUAUUUUGAGGGGGAGAUACCUAGGCUGUGAGAGGAUAUGCAGAGGGGGGUACGUUUCUGUUAUGGAGGGAGAGCCCAUUGACAACUGUGAGAGAUUCUGGAGAGCUUUUUGGGGAGCUUGGGCAGGAAGCUUCCUGGAGGAAGGUUUGAGGUUUCUGUUAUGAGAGGUUUUUUUUGGGAGAGCUUAGGGAGACAUUCGAGGGGAUCAUUUUUAAAGGGGGGUUUUUCUGGCUGGGGAGCCAAGAAAAGGAACCUGAGAGUGAGGUUUGCUGUGGGGAGUUUUCCUGGGAGAUAUUUUUGGUGGAGGUUCUUCUUGGGAGGACCUCAGAGCAGGGGAGCGGAUUUUUUUUUGAGGAUGAGGAAGCUCUGAGAGAGGGAAACACUUGAGAGAGACACUUUGGAGAGAGAUAUUUUGAGAGAGGUAGAGAGAGUGAGGUAAUGCGAGAGGGUAAUGUGUUUUCUGGUUGUUGAGAGGAGCUUUUGGGAGUACCUUGAGAAGCAAGACAGAGAGCAAGAGCUUAAAAAAGGAGAUAACAGAGGAAGAGAGUAGCUGCAGGUAAGUUUGAGGUGAGUUUCUUGCUUACUUUGAUUCAUAUAUUUCUCAUCUCUUUCCCAUUUUGAUUUACUCUACAUUGCUCGCCAAUUUGAGUUGGAUAAUAUGGAUUACAUGCUGAAUUUAUUGGUUUUUGGAUCCUUUCUUAUGCUCUGUUGCUAUUGAUCUUACUGUCAUUUCUUGUGGUUUGGUUUGGAGCUAGUGGGACUCUGUUUUUCAUACACUCUGUAAGUCUAGCUUAAGAUCUCCUCACCUGUAUGAGCCCAUGGAUGUCACCUGAAAUGAGGCUUUAUACAUUCAUGCUUUACCUGAUUCCCAGUCCAUCAUUCUCUCAAUUUUCACUCUGGUCUCUGCCUUUGUUUUCAUUCCUUUGAUUUUGCUGUGGUUGUGGUGUUAAAUAUCUCAUUUGGGAUUGGCUAUCAUGGUUUGGAGGUGGGGUGUCUCUGAGAGAGCCUCAUGAGGGUCACUUUCCAUACAGUUGAGUAUUUCUGAGUGCCUGAAAAGCUAUGUAGAUCGCAUUGGACGUCCAGAGGAAAGAAACUUGAGCUAAAUCCUCGUGAGAAUGCGUAUAUUGUGAAUGCUUUGGCCGAUGCCUUUACUGUGUCUAUAGAUGCACCCUUUCUGCUGAAUCUGGAAUGUAAUCACCNNNNNNNNNNNNNNNNNNNNNNNNNNNNNNNNNNNNNNNNNNNNNNNNNNNNNNNNNNNNNNNNNNNNNNNNNNNNNNNNNNNNNNNNNNNNNNNNNNNNGGGUAAUGUGUUUUCUGGUUGCUGAGAGGAGCUUUUUGGGAGUACCUUGAGAAGCAAAACAGAGAGCAAGAGCUUAAAAAAGGAGAUAACAGAGGAAGAGAGUAGUUGCAGGUAAGUUUGAGGUGAGUUUCUUGCUUACUUUGAUUCAUAUAUUUCUCAUCUCUUUCCCAUUUUGAUUUACUCUACAUUGCUCGCCAAUUUGAGUUGGAUAAUAUGGAUUACAUGCUGAAUUUAUUGGUUUUUGGAUCCUUUCUUAUGCUCUGUUGCUGUUGAUCUUACUGUCAUUUCUUGUGGUUUGGUUUGGAGCUAGUGGGACUCUGUUUUUCAUACACUCUGUAAGUCUAGCUUAAGAUCUCCUCACCUGUAUGAGCCCAUGGAUGCCACCUGAAAUGAGGCUUUAUACAUUCAUGCUUUACCUGAUUCCCAGUCCAUCAUUCUCUCAAUUUUCACUCUGGUCUCUGCCUUUGUUUUCAUUCCUUUGAUUUUGCUGUGGUUGUGGUGUUAAAUAUCUCAUUUGGGAUUGGCUAUCAUGGUUUGGAGGUGGGGUGUCUCUGAGAGAGCCUCAUGAGGGUCACUUUCCAUACAGUUGAGUAUUUCUGAGUGCCUGAAAAGCUAUGUAGAUCGCAUUGGACGUCCAGAGGAAAGAAACUUGAGCUAAAUCCUCGUGAGAAUGCGUAUAUUGUGAAUGCUUUGGCCGAUGCCUUUACUGUGUCUAUAGAUGCACCCUUUCUGCUGAAUCUGGAAUGUAAUCACCAUACCAAUGACAGUGAGGCUCUUAAGGAGAUUGUGCUGCACAAUGGACUGGAAAAAGACAGAUGACCUUCACCAUGUGGUCCAAAAGGUCAAAUCUGAAUUGCAUGAAGCAGUACCUGUUCUUCAUGUGGACAUUUAUUCUGAGUUUGGGUCAUUAUUGACUCACUGCUCAGGGAGUUGUUGAAUUAUUCUGCUUAGAAUUGGUGGCUGCCAUACCUGGGCAUUAGUAUUGCCUCUUGACUGCUGAUGGUUCAUGCAUCUAUACUGUUGGAGUUGAGCAGGGUGAUCACCAAAAUGGGUUGUAGUUCAGGAAAUCGAAUCAGGAAGUCCUUCUUGGAAGACUGUGAUCUUCGUCAUGAUUCAAACUUCAUACGCAUUGAAACUACAUGCUACCCCAUGGGAGAUUGUUGUACCACCCCCUCUAGAUGUAUUUUCAAAUUCGAAUCCUCAAAGUCAAGCUUGAAGAGUUCAUCGCCUUGGGAAUUUCUCAGUUUCUGGGCAUGAUACAGAAGAGGCAGUUAUACUGGACCUUAUGCCAAACCCAGGUCGUGGUGGGUACAUACCCCAUUAGUGCCCCAAUAUCCUUUUUGUGCGUUUUUGUGAUGAGAACUCUUGUGCUCGAAGAAAGUCUUUUAGCAGGAUACAAUCACUAAAAGAAUGAUGGCCAUUGAGGAAAUGGCAUGCAUGGAUGCUCUCUGCAAUGACAAGACAGGAACAUUGACCUUGAACAAGUUGACUGUUGACUGAAACCUUAUUGAAGUGAUUACAGAAAGUGUGGAGCACUCCUCAGGUGACGUUGCUUGGGUUUCAUCCUCUUGUAAUAGUGGUGAUAAUUCCAUAAUAGCUACAGAAGGUUCUAGUUACAUAUAGUGAAGGACCAUCGUACCCAUCUUCUAUCUCAUUCUCUCAUCAUUCAUCUUCAUCCAUUAAUUUCCCCUUCACCUAUUCCACAAUCCUCUCGCAUGCAUGCAUCUCAUGCAUACGAUCCCUCACCAUUAUUCCUAUAUUCUCAUCCUUCCAAACUCAUCAACACUACACCUAACUCUCAUACCCGUACCCAUUUUUCACGCCCCUCAUACUAGCUUCUCCACUGUACACUUCACAUUGCUUCAUCAGCCACCUCGUCCAACAAAUAUAUCACUGUCAUCCCUUGUCUUGAUGGUUUCCCAGAAGAAGUUCCAAGACCCAAAGAGAUGAUGUCAGGGUUCAGGUUUGUUCUCGGUAUCUCUACUGGAGAAAGAAUAAGUCAUUCAUGCAAAGGUCUUCAAGGUGUUGAAGUGACUUAGAGAGCCGAACCUCCAUUUUUUUUAUAUAUUCAGUCAUGAGCAUCAAAAAGUAAGCCCAAUGAAAGUCUGGGCUGUUCUCACUGAUUUGGGUUUGAGACUAUGGAGAGACCCAGGUGAUAAGUCCAAGCCGCCAACAGCCCAUAUGCAAGGAAAAUUCCCUGUGCGUUAUAAAAUGGCAGUAUUGGGUGGGGAUUUCACGUUUGCACAGUCAUCACGGUAACUUGCAAAUCUGGAAAAUCUUGAACUCAUAAAGCUCAUCAGUCAGGUUAUUGAAUAUUUUGCAAGUGAUGCAAGAAGCAAUGGAGCUCAGGAAACCACGGUGAGGCUGAAAAGGAGACUCUACACUUGAAAGUUGCUGAAGCUGCGAAUUGAGAGACAGGAAAUGAAGCUAAUUGAUGACCUGGCCAUGCAAGCUGUUGCCUGUCUUUAAGUGCAAUCUCUUGUUACGGAAGAUGUUCCCAAGGAGAUUGUGAGCCAGGAAAGAGAGAUUGAGAUGCAGAGGGAAGAUCUUUGGUCGAACCCAGAAUAUAUCAAACCAAGGAUUGCUGAGAGGCCCUAAAUCUGGAAGUUGACUCAGUUUUUCUCAAAUCAGGCUCGCUGUACUAAGAAAGGAAAUAAGAGAAAGAACACUCCUUCAAAGUGGGCCAAAAAUGGGAUCUUCUCUGCAUGGCCACCAUCCUUAUGUUGCAUGUCACUUCCUUUCAAAUCCCUUCCCUGUGAUUUCGAAAUAAAGAUUUCCUAACCCUGUUUUCAAAUGAUUUUCCAAUUUUCGUUUUUUUAAAUGAUUUCAAGUCAUCAAAAUUUUCAUCCUUAGAGUCUUUAGGUUCCACAAGACUCAUUUUCAAUAAAAUUUAGCCGCCAUUUUCUUUUCGGUGAGCCACUUUCGAUUUUUUUUUUUUCAUCAUUUUAAAACGUUUUAAAAUAAACAUGAAUUUAAAUUCCGUAGUUCCGAAUAAUGGAAUUUGUGGAAUUAAUUCAUGCAAAAAUAAACGGGCUUUGGUGGAGCCCCACAUAUGUGAUUUAUGAUUGAUCGAUUGAUUGGUUGAUUUGAUUGCUAUUCAUAUAUGAUUUAUUCUGCUCUAUGAUAUGCAUGUGACUAUUCUUUAAUUGUGCACUAAUCUCACUUCUUGAUAGCGCAUUGAAGAUCGUUGCCCAGGUACGCAUCUGUUUUUAUUCUAGUCUUGCUAUAUGCAUGUUUUGAUACUCAUAUGUGCAUGAUUGAUUCGAGUAUUCAUUGAUUUUCUCAUUGAUUACCAUGUCAGCUCCACUUUAUUAGUAGAGACCCGACUUUAGGGCUUAGAGGAGUGCUACGGUCUUUACCGUACCUUCCCGAUAAGUAACCUGACCCCCGAACCCGAUCCGGUUUUUGUAGAUCACCUUUUCCAAAAUAAGGAGUCACACUUAGGGUUUUUCUUUCUUAUUUUGUUUACCCUUUAAAAAUAAAACAAAAAUAAGUGGCGACUCCAAGUCAUUUUCAAAUAAUCAAUAAAAAUCAAUUUUUCAAAUCAAAAUCGAGCUCGCCAUCGAGUGGGAAACGCAUUCGAGCGAUCGGAAAUGCGGGGUCCACAGAUUUUUAAUUUUUCUAAAUUAUUAUAAUUUGUUAUUAACUUUGUAUCUUACUCAUUUUCGCAUAAAAAAAUAUUUUUACCUUUAAAAAACAAAAAUAAUAAUAAAUUUACCUUAAAAAAGAUAAUAAUAUUUAAAAAAAUGAAAUGUUAGUCCCUUUAAAUUUUAAAUUUUAAAAGCUAUUUUUUUCAUAAGUUUCAGUGUGGCCCACACUAAAUUGUUUAGCAAACUAUCAUUUUCAUGUGGUGAAUUGGAUUAUCUCGAAGCAACAACUUCCUAAUAAAAUAAAAUAAAAUAAAAACACCCAACAAAUUAGUUGAACCAUGCUACCAAUAAUUUGUGUUAUUUAAGGGGAAAAAAACAAAACACAUUCAUUUUAAAAUUAAAAAUAUUUUUUAAAAAGUUAUUAUAGAUUUAAGUAGAAUUGGGUUGAACCAAGAUUGAUUUUUAAUUUAUCAACAAUAAAAAAAUAAAUUAAACAUAGAUAAUAAAAGUAUUGUAUAUAAAAUAGGAUUUUUAAUUUUUCCAAAUUAUUAUUAUUUGUUAUUAACUUUAUCUUACUCAUUUUCGCAUAAAAAAAUUAUUUUUACCUUAAAAAACAAAAAUAAUAAUAAAUAUACCUUAAAAAAGAUAAUAAUUUAAAAAAAAAUGAAAUGUUAGUCCCUUUAAAUUUUAAAUUUUAAAAGCUAUUUUUCAUAAGUUUCAGUGUGGCCCACACUAAAUUGUUUAACUAUCAUUUUUCAUGUGGUGAAUUGGAUUGUCUGGAAACAACAACUUCCUAAUAAAAAAUGAAAUAAAAUAGAAUAAAAAAGAAACCAGGAAACAAAUUAGCUGAAUUAUGCUACCAAUAAUUUGUGUUAUUUAAGGGGAAAAAAACAACACACAUUCAUUUUAAAAUUAAAAAUAUAUUUUUUAAAAUUAUUAUAGAUUUAAGUAGAGUUGGGUUGAACCAAGAUUUAUUUAUUUAUUUAUUUAUUUUGAAUAGGUGUAUUAGCCCAAAUUACAGCCCUAUGAAAUUCUGUUAAAAGUAUUUACAAAUUAAUAAUCCAUCCUUUGAAGUGUUGGAGUGCAUAGAGGGUCAAAAAAGGGGACCGUUUAGCGCGUUGGCGUGGAGCGCAGGCCCUUGAACUUUUGUAACGCGGUUCACACUCCCAAAUACUAUGACUGAUUCCACUCGUCAUAUGACAAGAGAUUUUACAUCAAAGAAAAUACAAAUGAGGAUGGAAAAAGAAAAACACCAACCGGCGUAGUUGAAAGUUGAAACUGAAUGUAACAGAAAAGUCGAUCGGCCGUCACCCAACCAUUGAUUCCAUCCCCCUCGAGGCGCGCCAAAACUCUCUCUUUCCCUCUCCCUUAUCUCUGAAUCGCUGUGUCUGCAAGACGCCAUUAGAACGGUGUUGGCCAUGGCUUCUCAGUCGUUGUGCAACGGCGAGAGAGCCGUGGUCCUCCUCUUCAUCUCCGCCAUCCUCUUCUCCACUCCCUCCUCGCUUUUCUCCCAAGCCCUGGUUCUCUUCCUUCUUGCCAUCGCCGCCCUCUUCCUCGACAUUCGCCUCGACAAUUCCAAUUUCUCUGUCCCCUUCAAGACCAGGUUUUUUCAUUAUUUUCUCUAAAUUUCAACGAAUUUUCCUCAUGCUUGUCAAAAUUUGCGUUGCAUUUUCUUUGGGGCUUUUAAUUUGGUUUCUGUUGGUGGUUUGAGGGUGGGAUUGAGUUUCCCGGAGAAAACGCGGGAAAAAAUUGAGAGAAAUUGAAAGAAAUUUGUGAAUUUUGUAGUUUUUGUCCUUUUUGUAUGGAGAAAGUUAAAAUUGUCAUGGAUUUAUUAUUAUGCUACAGAGUUGUGUUAGGUCCAAUUGAGUAGACGCUUUUGCUCAUUCAGGUCAACGGUGGAAAAUCUAUGUUUCAGGAUUUUUAAUGUCUUCUGUUUUCCUAAAUUUGAUCAUAAGGUAGUGGUGACUAAUGGUGGAUUAGGGUUUAUCUCUGAAUGAAAUUUGUAGUUGCUAGUAACAUUUACAUAUGUAUAAUAGAAUCACAUAUGACUUAGCUUUCGGUUAUUUAGGGAUUAUGGAUGACAUGAUACUCGUCCAGGUUAUUGGUUAUCUUGUAAUUCUGAAUCUUUUUUUUGCAUUUUUUUUAAAAAAAUUAUUUCCAGGCCAGGUGCUUCGUCAGGGAUAUUUCUGGGGGCAGUUACACUGCCUGCUGUUAUGAUCUCAAGGUUGAUUCAGCUAUCAAGAGCAUUCUCGUUGCAUGAAGUUGGAAUUAAAGGUAUUUGAAGUACUCCCUUCAAUGCUUAUAAAUUUUCAAAAUCGAAGAGUUCAUGUUUAUAAGGUGUGACUAUAUCAUUUACAGUGGCAUUCACUUACCACAUGUUUCCUCUUUUCUCAGAGGUUGGAACCCACUUUGUGAGGGCUAAGAGUAUAAACAUGAAAUGCGCAUCAUUAUCUUUUUGUACUAACAUUCAUUUGGAUAAACCCAAUCGGCAUUUUUAGGUAGAAAUUCCAUGUGUACAUGCUGUAUUUGUUUGUUGAAAAUAUAGUUUCAAUUGCCAAAACUAGACUACAUGUUAAUUUUCAGAGUAACCUACAAAGACACUUUAAGAUCCGAUGGUUUUUGGUUGAGGAAAGCCUCAAAUAUAUAGAUUAUAGGUUUGAUAAAAUAAUUAGGAGAGGCGAGCAAACGAUGAAAUUUAAUGGACAAUCAAUGUCAAGAAGUGAUUUCUUUAUGCUUCGUUUGGAUAUACUUUUUUUUUUUUUUUUUUUAAAUUAGAAACUUACAUAUAAAAUGUAGAAACUUUUAUGAAAAAGGUAUAGACUUACCUUAUAUCCUUAUCUUAAAAAAUUUAAUGGACAAUGGAUGUCAAGAAGGGAUUUCUUUAUGCUUUGUUUGGAUAUACUUUUUGUUUUUUAUUUUUAAAAUUAGAAACUUAUAUAUAAAAUGUAGAAACUUUUAUGAAAAAAGUAGACUUACCUUAUAUGCUUAUCUUAAAAAAUUUUUAAAUUUGAGUUAAUAAAUUGUUUUUAAUUAAGGACCUUAAUUUUUUUAAUUAGUUUUUAAAAACCAUUAACAUUUCAAUGUAAGCCUCUUAGAGUUCUAAUAUUCUAUAUAGAAAUUGCUAUUAUUCUUUAUUUUUAAAAAUAGAAAAAAUGAAGUGUAUCCAAACGGACGCUUAGUUGAUUUGAUUUUCAUAAGGGGGGGACAUUGGAUGGGGUUCAUAGGAAUAAAGUAAGAUGGAUGGAGUGGCGCCUUUGGAGUGUCAUGAGAUUGUAGACCAUCUAUUAAGUGUUCUCUAAUCUUAUAAUACCCAUGGAUUAUGGUGUUGGAAGAGAAAGAUAAGGUGAUUUGGAUAUAGUCAAAGAAUGGUAAGUUUUCUGUUAAAAUCCUUUACUUGGCUUUGGAGCUAGGAAGUUUAGUAUCUGUUCCGGAAAGUGUUAUUUGGAACUCUUGGGUGUUUCUAAAGGUGGAUUUUUUGCUUGAUAGGCUACAUGGGAAGGUUUCAACCUUGGAUCAUUUAGAGAGGAAAGGAUGGUCUUUGGCAAACAAAUGUUUUCUUUGUCAUUUAAAGAAAGAAUUCAUUGAUCACAUUCUUAUUCACUAUAUAUAUCAAGACAAGGAUUUUAUGGCAUUUAUUGUUUUCCCUAUUUUCCGUGUCUUAGGUGUUACCCUCUUAGGUUAGAGAUACACUAUUAGGAUGACAUAACUCUUUCAUAGGUAAAAAAAUGGAAAAAGGCAUGGCAUGCUACUCCCGUAUGGAUCUUUUAGACUGUUUAGAAGGAAAAGAACAAUAGAUAUGUGAAAAUGAGGAGCAUUCUGUUCUAAGGGCUGAAACACUCUUUUCUUUGUAAUAUUUGGGCUUAGUCUUAGUUGUUUAUAAUUUUUGGUCCUUCACCUUUAGUAGAAUUUGAUGAUUGGCUGGGCUCUUAUUAAGGGAGGAAGAUGUGGGGGGGAGGGGUUUGUGUAUACUUCUUGUGUACUUUGGGGGCGCUCUGUUAAUGUUUACUUUUUGUAAAUUCUCUUGCUUUACCCAUACAAAAAUGGCUUAUGUACUGGAUGCUAGAAGAAGGAACAUAUUUGAAAAUGAGAGCAACUUAAAUCAGGAUGUAAAGGUGGAUGAGUACCCAAAGAGAUGGAAUAAGACAUGAAUUCUUUCAUGAAAAGUUAUAGGUAGCAUCAAUUCAUGAUAAGAGGUAACAAUGUAAGAUGGUUUAAUUAUUUGCAUUAACAUCAGUGAUGGAAUUGGACUAGUGAAGUGGAGAGGUAUGAUUUAAGAUGAGGGAGCACUAGAACAAGUGGAAGGCUAAAAAAAUAUGGGUCAAUACCAAUGUUUUAAAAGGCUAAAGGCAGCUUUGAUGCGUUUUGCCCCAAAUGAGGUGAGGCAUAAGCCUUGAGGUGGAUCAAAGUGUAAGCCUGAACCUAACAAAUAAAUAAAUAAAAACUUAUCAAAAGAAAAAUGAUAAUUAAAAAAAUAUAUUAAUAAAUCACAUGAAAAUUGAACAUAAGAAAUCCAUGCACUUUGUAAUAAUCAAAUUAGUUGUUUAUCAGUAUUAAUAGUUUCUUAUUUAAUUCCUCUCUCUGUCUUCUAAAUUCAACUCUCUCAUAGCUUCAUCAAAUAUCCUUCAAGACUGUCAUUGCUACCACUAGUAAGGAUCAUCCAAGGAACCAUAAUCGUAUCCAAUCGCUAUCAUUGUUAAUGUCUACACAUUCUUCUUCUUCAUCCAUCAAUUAUAGUGGUCUUUCGUUCUUUAUUUAUCAGUAAUAUGAAAUUAAUUAUAUCAAGUUCAACCAUUACAAAGGCCAGCAACUUCUGUAUUUCUUCUUCCCAAGCUCUUUCUUCCCCCUCCAUUUAAAGGAUUAAUUGGUGGCUAACUAAGCCUUACUUUAUAAAAGGUUUAACCCUAGUUUUUUUUCUAAUAGGAAAAACUGAAUAUAUAUUAACAACACCUAAAGAAAAGGGCGCAUCAGAGUUCACACUAUGAAUACAAUAGCACAAGUAGGCAAGCAAAAAAGAAGGUAGAAAACAAAUAAAAAACAGGCUUCCUCUCCUUACAUGGAGCUAUGUCAAUCAACAAAUCCUAUCAUAGUCAUUGAAUAAUCAUUUAUGUACAUCUAACCCUAGUCUUGAACUUAAGACAAAACUUAUUAAUCUAUAUCAAAAUCUCAUAAAAGCACAAUUUAUUAAACCGUGAAUAUUGAGGCUUAAACAUCUUACAAUAUAUAUAUACAUAAAGCCCAUAAAAGCCCUAAACCCAUUAAAACCUUUUGAAUAUUUGAGACAUAAGCCUCAAUAGGGCUUUUAUGGGCUUAAGCCUUGAUUAUCUGUACUGAUGCUUUAGCCUCAAGGCUAAUUUUCAUAGCUUCACUUUGAGGCAAGCCUCAAUAGCCUUUUAAAACACUGGUUAAUAUCAUGAGAAAAACUUAAUUUCCAAUGCUUAACAAGGGAUAUGGCUUUGUUGUGUUGAGUUUAACUUGAGCAAAUGAUAACUUAGACUCACAUGUUUGUUCUGGUAAGACGCACAAGAAAUUUUGUAAUUUUGUUACAUUUAUAUCAGUUAAUGAUAAGAUUAAAUAUGCCAUAUUGUUUGCCAAUUUUCUUAUCGGUUACGUUGCAUUGUAUUAUAGAAAAUCUGGAUGGAGAACAAUUUUUUAUGGUCUUGCUAACUUUAAUUUUGGGGCAUUUUGCAUAUUAAAUUGAAGUUUGGAUGUUUUGGAUUUAAGUAUGAGUUACCCAUUUUAAACAAUGCUAGGCAGUGUUCUUUUGUAGGAGCCAGGAUUGUUUAAUUUUUGAAUUUGACAAGGCCAGUGGUUUUAUUUAUAAAUUCCAUGAUCCCAGAAAUCCAUAAGGAGUUAAAACUGACAAGAUUUCAAAUUGCAUCAUAAUGCCUGGGAUUGAUAAACCUUGCAUUGUAUUUGUUAAAUGGGGUGGAUUUACUUGCUGUGCAACUCCCAGUUUAUUCCAUUAGGGAAGAGAGUCUAUUAGUUUCAACUGUGGAUGAGUUCUUUGGUGGAUUUAAUUCAUUAAAAAAAAAACCCAGAGAAUUAGGGGAUGGAGGGAAGGGAAAAUGCAUUAGUGCUUGUAAAGAUAGGGGAAAGAGAUUGUACUAAGUUAAAAAAUAAAAAGAAAUCUUGUGUUUGGAUAUGACAUUAUGCAGGUCUUUCCCACCUCAGUCAAAGACCUUCUGCUGGACCGGAGUUUCGGAGGCUAGAUAAAUGGCAUAAAAAGGUUUCACAAUUGGCUCCCUUUUGCUUGUUUUGGUGUAUUUAAAGAGAGGUUAACGAUCAAGUUUUUAAUGGAGAAGAGCAUUCAAAUCAAAAGCUAAAGGAAAUUUCCAUUAAAUAUCUUUAUGUUAGAAUUGGAAAAUUGUACAUUGAUAGAGCUUACUGAUAGUAUAGACUGUAGAUGGCUUGAUUUAGCUUUGCUGUUUUUUGGUGGGAAGUUUGGUUUUCCUGUUUCUUUUGUGCCCCUUGUACACAUGUUGUGUAUAUAGGGUGUGUCCUCUUUUGGUUUGGUGCCUUUAACUAGAAUUUUGUUUGCCUAAAAAAAAAAAGGAUAAUGUAUAAUUUCUAUUUUAUGCAGUUUUAAUAUUUAAUUGUUAUAAACCUUAUUUAACUGUUUGAAUAGAAUAAUCAAGAUCCUGUUGAGGGAGAACUCAUCAUUGAAUUAAUUAAAAGAAGGGUGGAAAUGGGAAUGUACCUUUUAGUCAAUAAAAUGAAAAAAGGGUUGAAGUUAAUAUGCUUGUGUCAUAGUGGAACAAAAGGAGCAAUUUAGACCUUUUUCUUGACAAAUUUUGUGCAUGACUUUGUUGUUCUGGCUUUCAAUUGAUCACUCCCUAUUUCUUCCAUAAUGGUUUCCAUUCUAUCUUACAAAGAAGAUUUCUCAGGAUUUUCAUUAACUGAAGUGUUUUCUAUUCCAUCUCACAAACUUUCUUGUGCUAUCAUCCUUUAUAUUGACAGUGUUGUUAAAUCCUUUUGUUUAGAGCUUGGAUAUUUGAAAGUGCAAUAUUGGGCCACUUCUGCCAGCUGCUUCGGUGUGCUUAUUUUCAUUUUCUUACUCAUGCGGCGUUCUCCCAACAAUAGCUGCUCCUUUUCUUCGAACAGUCCUCAGGGUUUGAAGUUUAGCUCAAGUUGCGUGGUUUCAUGUGCAGUGUUGUGCUGUGUGUCUUUUGCUAUAGUAUCAUAUUAUGGUGAGUUCUCAAUUCUGCACCUACUGUACCAUUUUUGUCUUGCAUGGGUUGAGACUUGAGAUAUGAUGAGGUGCUCAUUUUAGUUUCUUAUUCUAUUUAGACUGACUAUUUCUAACCCAGAGGUGCUUACUAAUGUUAUAUCUUUUGUAGUUCAGCUAACAAAAGAAUGUAUGAUUAAUAUUUUUAUUUACUCAUCUAUUACAGGAUUGCACACAGUACUACUGUUACUGUGGGUGCUCUUUCAUGGAGUGGCAGCUGUGAAAUUAAUUCAGCAUGUUCAUAAUACUUUUCCAUCAUGUGCUUCCAUUGGUGUGUAUCAUGCUACUACUCUUCCAUUAUCAUUUUUGUUUGCUGAAUGCAGAAGCUUUCCAUAUUUAACAAAAUGAUAAAAUAACCUUAGAACUUAUGAUAAUGAUAACGUUCAUUUUCUCAUCAGUUGCAUGCAUAUGAAAAUAGCUUUUGUUGCUUUUUAAAGAAAAUGUACUAGUGAUAAGACAACUUCCUGCCACUGAAAAUGCUUGGCACUUGAAAUUUAUGUAUAAAAGUAACCCCUGUCACAAGUGUAUGAAUAUUGUAAAUAUUUACCUGUUUUUAAUUGUUUUUAUACAUUUUAAUGUUUUUAUUUAAAAAUAUGAUUGAAAUAGGAAACCUGUGUUCAUUUUGGAAACCUAUGUUCAAACUCUGAGUUGUAGCCUGGUAUAAAUGUUCUAACAAAUUUUAAGCAUUGUUAGGUUGAUAUUUUGGAAGGGUCUGUCAAGAUUUAUAUGCCAACACUGGAGGUUGAAUCACUGUGGCAAUGGUUUCCUUUUGUGGAGGAUAUACUUUUGUACAUCCUGAGCUUUGUACAAAAGUAUGUCCCCCACAAAAGGUAAAAUAAAUAUCUAGUUUUCCUAUAUGUACAUAUAUAUAUAUAUAUAUAUAUAUAUAUCCUGUUUUCCUAUGAAAAAUACUAAUUUGCUUAGCUUAACCUAAUUUUACCUGUCUGUCAUCUCCUCAGUGACUAUCAUUUCUCUCUCUUCUUAGGAGAAGCACUUCUGGUGACUUCUGGUCUGGUUCUCUAUUUUGGCGACAUGCUAGGAUGUACCAUUGCAAAGGUCAGUUCUUUUCUGUGUCAUAUGUUUUUUACUUAUUCCUGGAAAAGUCAGCAAUGUAUUCAUUUUUACAGGCAAUGUAAUUGUUUGAACAGAUUGAUGGAUACUGGAUACCAUUAGACUUACAGUAUGGAGCUAAAAGAAGUGAGAUUAGUACCAUCAUUCAGGUAUGGUUCUUUGAGUUAUGAAACUGGUUGUGAAUGUUUAACUGGAUAAGAAAGGAUUUUCUCUUACUUGCAGGGAGUGGUGCUUGGCCUUCUUCUUUUUCCAAUAUUCUUUAAAUUUCUUCUUCAAAUUUGGGAACACAUUGCAAGUUCUGGUCACUCUGAAGCAAGGGCGUGCAAUGAGAUUGGGAAAUCUCUUAUUUUCCAUACUUCCCUUGCAUUUAUCUUGAUUGUGAUCAUCCCAUUAUGGAUGCAGUUUGUUCUGGAUUUUCAUAUGCAUCCGCUGUUAUGGUAUUUACUUCCUUCAUGCUUCAUUUUAUUUUGACAUAUUUAUUUACUUUAGUGCAUUUUAUUUGUUAUCAUCUCAUCUGAGGUGGAGUUGAGCAAGUUUUUGAAUUUACAAAGUGGUUGCCAUUGGUUUCAUGUGAAAUGGAGGAGAUGGAUGUAUCUUAUCCGGUGUCAAUACUUUGUUAUGCAUGGGCAUGCGUUAUAUGAUUACAAAAAUUAAGGCCUUGUUUGUUAUGUUGGAUUAGUGGUCAAGAGAUGAUAGAAUAUAUACUAAUGUGUGGUUUGUUAUUAGAUAAAAAUUGCUUUAUAAGUAGCUUAGACUGCAUGGCUUUUCAUUAAAAAUUAAUAAUAUUAAUUGCUAAAACAUUUAAAAUUUAAUAAUAGAUAAAAUAAAUAUUAAAUUAUAUAUAUAUAUAUAUACAUACAUACAUAUACAUUUUCUUUACUUUGUUUUUUUUUUUUUUUGGAUUAAAAAUUUAAUUUUUUGGAAUAAUAAAUGUUGUACCACAUUACUUCACAAGAGAGAGAAAGAGGCUGGAGAGAUUGAAGUAAUGAAGGAAAAUAGAAAAGUGAAAUGAUUCAUGAGAUAAGUAAUAUCUCGUCUCUUUAGUAAGAUUAUUAAAUUUUAUAUAGAGGUAAUAUAAACAAGACUCAAGAUAAGUUAUCACACUCACUUAUCCUAUUAGUUGGUUCCAAAAAUAGGAAAAAAAAUGAGAAUAAGAUUUUUACAUCCUAUUCCUGCCUACUAAAUAUGGUCCUUGUAAGUUACAGCAUUGGGGAAACUGUUGUAAUAUUUUUGUCUUGACCUGUAGUGGUACUAAGCUUUAGGACUGCAAGUUAUACUGCCUGGUAAUAUUUCAGUGGAACUGUUUCCAUGAAGGGUGGGUGGAAAGGAGGCCUCACAACGACAUGUAAUUUCUUUUUAAUAAUUUCUGGUAGUUUGGGCCUACAUUUUGCAUAGGGCUAGGAAAUGACAUGUAUGUGCAUAGAAUACAAUGACUAAUGAAAAUUCAAUUCUAUGGGUGAUUGUUAUUCACGUGAGUGCUCAUUCUUGGUGGAGCAUAAUUCUAAAUCUUAAUGGAUCAUCAAUCUCAAUACACCUAUAUCUCAAGGUCUUUUAUACAACCAUUGCUGAAAUCCUAAACAUUCAAAUUGAUUCAAUAUAAUGCACAUGUUUGUAAAGCCCUAAAAACACUUCAAAACACAUGAAAGUGCUUGUAAAAUAGGGCUCCUUUAGCUUUGGGUAUUUCUACACAUGUUAUGAAAAUGUUAUAUCUUUUGAAAAAAUAAAAGUAGAUAAAAAGGCAAACAAGUCAUUGAGAUUAUUUUGAACCAAAGAAUGUGAAAGUUUGUUCUUAAUAACAAAACUACCUAGAAGUGGUGAAUAAAUAGUUCAAGCUUCAUGUAUCCCAAUUUAAAAAUUUGUUUGGAUUUUCUUCUAUAUCAAUUAAUUCAAUCGGGAAUAUAAAAAGAUCAGUCAACACAAGGAACACCAAAUAUACUUGAAAAAAAUAUGUAUGGAUUCUUUUAGAAGCUCUGUUGAUGUAAAAAAACCUUGAGUUACACAACCUUAGAAUAAAUUUCCAAAAUUUGAAAAGAAAAGGUACAUUGUUUUACCUAAUCCGGACACACCUACUUUACCUAAUCUGGUGCACCUACCCUAAGAGUCUUAUACAAUUAGCACCUACACUUUUCUCUCACAUAUGCAACACAACACUUCAUGCCCCUUAAUGGAUUACUUUAAAAUUGUAUGAGGCAAGCAGUUCAAUGCAUCACGCCUUUCUACAGAAAGGACUUCCAAGAAGGCUGUUGAAAGAGUUUGAGAGUUAAGAGUCUCAAGGUAGAAUAAUGGCUACGAGAUCACUUGCCUCAUUCUUAGUCUGGAAUGCUUGGUUUUUAUAUCAAAACCCUAGUUGGAUAUUUAGAGUAGGUUUUUACAAAGUAAGUUUACCAAAAAGUCUAAUAAAAGUGAAAAAAAUCGAGCUAAAAAAAAAAAAAAACAAUUUGGAAGAAUUAGGGUUCAAACUUCAUGUAGGGGCCAUUUGAAUCUUGGAGGACUUUUGAAUGUUCAUUCAUAUUUUCAAAAUUUUCUUCCAUUUUUCAAUUUUUUUUCCCCAAAUUCCAUUUCCUUUACUUAUCAUAGCCAUUUACCAUACUCUAAUACUUCCAACACAAAUAUACAUCAAAUGAAUUCAACUCUUUAGCAGCUUGAAGUCAACUACAACCUGGUGGAACAAGGGAGUUUGUGGUUCAUGGUGUAAUUAUAAGGAGUGAGGAAACAUGAAAUGUUUUGAAAACCUAGUAGUUGUAUCUAGUUUUUGUUCUUUGUAAUAUUCUAUAUGGUAUAGUCAAAUGAUUCUCACAUCCAUGAACAUAGGCAUGUUGACCGAAUCACGUUAAAACCUCAUGUAUCUUUGUGUGGAUUCCUUUAUCUUUGUGUUUUUGAACUAACAUUAUUUGCAUUAAAACUUCUGUUGGGUCAAUAAUUGUAAGGUGAUUUUUUGAGCUCUGACCUUACUAGGAAUUUGAUGCAAUCACUAAUAUUCUACAAGCCAAUUUCUCCCCCUCAUAACUCACAUUGAUUUCCUCAUUCUCACUUUGUUGAGUCACAUAUAAUUUGAUCACUUAUUCACAGGCAAUGAAUGGAUCAUCUUGGAAAGUAGUCCUGAGUUAUAUCCGUUCAUUUUGGCCCAUUUGCCUGUCAUCUUGUUAACCCAUCCAUGUCUGUUGUAAUUCAUGUGCACAUCAUUUGAAUCAAGGGUACUAAAUUUUGCAUAUGUUUGUUUUGGAAAUUAAUUUGGUCGGCUGCUUCUUGCUGAUAAUCAUAGCUUUGUUCCAAUACUAAGUGAUUCUUUAUAUCUCAUUAUUUCAUCUGGAUAACCUGUUAUCUUAUCAUCAGUUAUUUUAUGGCAGGAUAUUCAAAUUUGUUUUCUCGGAACCACUUAAAAGACUAUCAUUGUGUAUUUAUUGGGUGGGCGUUAUAUAUGCAUCAAUUCUGCGGUUUUACAACAUCUCAAAGAAUAGUAAAGUGGAGCGGAUUCUUCUUCGCAAAUACUAUCAUCUGAUGGCUGUUUCGAUGUUUCUGCCUGCUGUUAUCUUCCAGGUGAAUGAAACAAGGAUAUUUUGUUAUCUUGUUUUCCUUUUAUCUUUUUCAUCUCUCUUUUUCAUUUGGGCUAUAUGUUAUUCUUCUAGCAUUUUGCUUAGAUAUUCUAUUGACUAUUCAUUUCUUCUUCCAGCCAAAGUUUCUUGAUCUAGCCUUCGGUGCAGCUUUGGCAGCUUUCUUGACAUUAGAAAUUAUUCGAGUAAGUUCUGCAGCAUAUUUGCUCACAGUUGAUACUGACAUUAUGAUGUUUUCUUAACAUAUAAGAAAUAAUUACAUAGCAUAAAGUUUAAUUGCUGUGGCUCUUGUCUUUCACUUCCAUCACUCAAGAUUUAUGUUGGUACUGCAGUAUAUAUUGCAUACUAGAAAAGGAUAAUGAUGUGUUGAACUUGGACAGAAAGCAUGGAAUUUUUUAGAAAAUGUGUGUAAUUUAUAAGUGUAGGUUAUAGCAAUGUUACCCAUCAAAAAAAUAAGGUACUGUUACAGAAAACAUGCAUGUGUGUGAAAAACUCCAUAAGGAUUCUAGAUAGAGUCCAUGAAUACAAAAUUAAUUUGCAGGUGACCCCAAGUAGUUGUUGUGAUUGAGGCUUUGUUGAAUUGAGUUGUUUGGAAAUUGUUAAUUAGGGCAUAUUGCAAUUUUUUUUCCUUUUUUUGGAUAGGUAAAUUCUUGUCCCUGAUGGGACUUGAACUUGGAACCUCCCACAAACCCAUCGGAGCAUAUUGCAAAAAUUUUAGUACACAUAAAUUAAGUUAUACUUAUCAAAACAGUAUUACACAAAUAAUCAUAAUAUCACAUACCUUUAGACAUCAGUACUUGUUACUUAUGUGCCUUGUGGGCAAAUUGAUGCAUUGUCCUUCAUUUGAUUUGAUUUACUGAUGAACAUCUGAAAGAAAAAGUAAUGUAAGUCAGGAAUGAUGCAAACAUUAUAUCAAGAGUAAAUCAUCCCCAUCUCUCUAUUCAGGCUCAAAUCACGUCAGGUGUUCCUCAAGCAGGAAAAAAAAGUUUUGAACCUGAUUCAAAUAUGAGUGUUUGAAUGUCCAAAAAUUAGUUUCAAGAGUUUAUCAAUAAUUAAUGACUCUAAAAUAAAUAAUAAAUAAUAAAAUAUCCAAAAUAAAUAAUAAAUGACAAAAUCUAUCACUUCCUAUAUUUAUGCCUGGCAUAAGCGCAUAAGUUAACAUCGUUAUCUCCAUUACUGAACCUAUGAUAUGUCACAUGCAUAUACAAUGUUAAAAUGUUUCAACCACUCCUUUGCUCUGCUCGCAGGUAAUGUGAUAUCUUAAUAUUUUCUCAUGAUAAGUGCUUGAACAAUGUUAAAAUGUUUUUUUGUUUCUUGCUCUCUCUUGGUAAAUCUUGCAUAACCAUACUUUUUGUAGACAGGUAUGGAGAAUUUGGCCCUUGGGACAACUUGUGCACCAGUUUAUGAAUGCUUUCACAGAUCACCGUGAUUCCAAUCUUCUUGUUGUCAGGUAUGAUUUGGUUUUUCCCCAAAUGCUCAAAAUCAUUAGUGCAUAUGUUUGAUUUGAAUAAGUUCUAAUUUGAUAACCUUUUUGUCUUUUGCUAUGUUUAGCCAUUUUUCACUUUUAUUGGGAUGUGCACUUCCUAUCUGGAUGUCUUCUGGUUACAAUGAUCGACCUCUUGCCCCCUUUGCUGGAAUUUUGAGCCUUGGCAUUGGAGAUACAAUGGUGAGUGAUGGUGUUUAGACUGGAAUUGCUUUCUUAGUUACUUUUCUUGUUUGAGCACAAUUAGUAUCUUCAGAUUUUAAAAGUUGUUAGUAGCACAUUAAGGUUGAACAAUCACAAGCAUGUCCAUAUUUCUUUUUAUAAAACUCAAGGUGCAUUAUCAAAUAUUUACUGAGUUAAUAUGUGAUAAAAAUGCCUUUUCCCAAAAUGUAUUUUGAUGCUCAUACAUACAAGUGUGUUUUCUAGCUUCAUGCAAUGUACUGAGAGGAACCAGAGAUCAUUAAAUGUUGGUCUUUAUUAGGAAAUAACAAAAAUUUAGCCAUUAUAUAUUAGGUUAAAUUUUUGAGCUGUGAAAAUCAUUAUCACAUAGAAGCUGUAGAUACAUUUAAUAGCAUAUGUUGAAUUUUAUAAAGUCCUAAAGUUUGAAAAUUUGGCUAGAACCUCGUUUGUUGAGGAAAUUAAAUUAUGUGUAAUAUUUUGAAACUCAAAACCCAACAACAGUGUGACCUAUACAAUUGGAGGAGAGUGGAUGACAAAUGUCAAUGGGUUCCCCUGCAACCGUGGUAGGUUGCCUUAAGUUCAAUUCUAGUGGACUUUUAUUGAGAAAUCCUAGUCAAAUGACCUUUGGGAGUGAUCAUUAGGGAGGUCAAUAAUUUGCCAUUGAAGCAAAAUUAUUGGCCUUAUUUGGGGAUUGGGUAUGGCCUUGUUGAUGGGCUUAGGGAACUUGUCAUGUUCAGGUGUCUCCUGGGUGAUGAUUUUCUGGAUGUUUAUGCAAUGUAGAGGCUCUUGGAGAUACAUUCACUAAAUUGGAUGGAUCCUUGAUUUGGAUACAAAUAUGGUUUCUUCCUUUAGGUUACGGCUUAUGUCAGCUAGGUGUCUAUUUGAUGAAGAGGUCCUUUGAGAUAUAUUUUUCUGAAUUGAAUGGAUGUUUGAUUUGAUUAAAGAUAUGGUUUUCUCUUUUAGGUUGAGGCCUAUGUCAGCUAGAUCUGAAAGAUCAUUGCCUUAUCCGUGUUGAGUUCGUAGGGCCUUUUUGCCCUGCUUGAGGUUUUUGGGUUAAGGAUAAUACCUUGCUCAGUAGAAGCUUUUGUUUUGUACGGCUGCUGGGCUCUUGUACCAUAUGCUUUGUUUGAUCAAUAUGUCAUCGUGUACUUAUCUUCUCUCUAAUGGAAAUUUUCUUUUGAGAAGUAAUCUGGAAUUUUUGUUGAGGGGAAUGAAAAAUUAAACCUUCUUCCUGUGAUGUGAUGUGGCACCUGCUCCUUAUAGUUACACCCCGUGGCACAUUGGAUUGGGGAAUUUGAUGUGUCUCAAUUGAACAAUAUUAGUAAACAUUGGUGAUGUUUACACUUCCUUGGAACUUUUGAUAUGUUCUGACAUAUUAUCAAAAACACACACUACCCUAUUCAACUGGAAUUGCUACUUUAUGGAACAAUAAGUUUGUUAAAUUGUCCAAGGAUGCAUAAGUUUCUGGAGUCUUUCAGAGCAAAAUUAAUAUAUGAUGAUUUGGAGUGUACUUGGAGCUAAAAAGCACGCUUGCUAUCCAGCUCUAUGGGCCUGUGAAGUAAAUUACAGUUUUCCUUCCAUCUCUCUGGCCAAAUACUCUUAGAAGUUAAAGAGUUGAAAUUGAAUAUGUUGUGGGGUGGGAAAGCAAGGGUUGCCUAUUACCAUAGCUUAUGGUUACCAUUGCCUGUAAAAAGAAAGGCUUAUGGUUAAAAUUACCUGAUGGCACUAUAUAAUUUGCUAGUUUAAUACGCAUAAAAUAUUGAGAAAAAGGAACUUCAAUUCCUUUAUGAAUUUGUUGGAUACAAAGGAAAUAUUGGAGCUAUAGAAAACUAAUAUAUGAUGAUUUGGAGUGUACUUGGAGCUAAAAAGCACGCUUGCUAUCCAGCUCUAUGGGCCUGUGAAGUAAAUUACAGUUUUCCUUCCAUCUCUCUGGCCAAAUACUCUUAGAAGUUAAAGAGUUGAAAUUGAAUAUGUUGUGGGGUGGGAAAGCAAGGGUUGCCUAUUACCAUAGCUUAUGGUUACCAUUGCCUAUAAAAAGAAAGGCUUAUGGUUAAAAUUACCUGAUGGCACUAUAUAAUUUGCUAGUUUAAUACACAUAAAAUAUUGAGAAAAAGGAACUUCGAUUCCUUUAUGAAUUUGUUGGAUACAAAGGAAAUAUUGGAGCUAUAGAUAUUAUUUUGCUUAUAAUCCUCUUCAGUGCUACUACCUGCAUAUUUUUUUUCUUAUUUGUUCAUUGAAAUUUUGACAAGUCACUUGAAUGUUUUUGCUUUUAUGUUUAGGCAUCAAUGGUUGGUCACAAGUAUGGUGUCCUCAGGUGGAGCAAAACUGGCAGUAAGUAUUAUCUUUUCUGCCUGUUUGGGCUUUCUCUUUUAAACCACUAACCUGUGCAAAUUUUCCAGAGAAAACCAUUGAAGGUACUGCAGCUGGUAUAACAUCUGUCCUUGUAGCUUGCUCAAUCCUUCUUCCACUUCUGGCUUCAACUGGAUACAUACUUACCCAGGUAGGACUCACUCUCUCUCUCUCUCUCCCGCCCCCCUGAUGAGGAGACUUUCUAAUUUGCUUUUCCAACUAACCCAAAAAAAAAAAUAAAGGGAGAGAGAGAAAAGAGAAGAACAAACUUGGGAAAGUUUUGUUAGACUCUCUUUGUAGUAAGGAAAUUUUCCAAGACUUCCAGAUGUUCUUUUCCAACUAACCAAAAGAUUUUGUUAGUGUAACUCGAUUGUACCAUCUUAUUUGGGUUAUUUGAUAAUUAGUCUAACUUUCUCUCUCGUGAGAAGAUUUUCUAGAACUUGCUAAUGUGCUUUUCCAACUAACCAUAGAGAGAGAGAGAGAGAGAGAGAGAGCUUGGGAAAGUUUUCUUAGUACCUUCCUAUUUGGCUUACUCAAUAGUUAGUCUAACUCUCUGUACUGAGGAGAGUUUCUAAGACUUCAUAAUGUGCUUUUCCAACUAAUCCAAGGGAAAGAGAGACACAACUUGUUAAAGUUUUGUUAGUGUAACGCGACUGUAUUGCCUUAUUUGGGUUCCUCUUGUUGUGUGUGUGUCUAGUAAGGAGACUCUUAAUAUGCUUUUCCAACUGACCUAUAAAAAAGAACUUAGGGAAAGAUUUGUUAAUGUAACUUGAAAGUACUAUCUUCCUUGGAUUAUUGAUACAUUUGUUUUAUACCACUCUUUGCAGCACUGGGUCUCUCUUCUCUUAGCUGUGACCGCAAGUGGUUUGCUGGAGGCCUACACAGCACAGCUUGAUAAUGCUUUCAUACCUCUUAUUUUCUACAGCCUUCUCUGUUUGUAAAUGCGGCUCCAGCCUCCCAAAAAUAAAUGACUGUUGGAGGGCAGUACCAAAUCAUCCUAGAUUUUCCAUGAUUCUUAAUUUUGUGCUUCACUUGAGCACUUGCUUUUAGAUACAACCAACCUAUUAUUAGAGACUAUAACUCACCUGCUGUAUGGUAAGCUCAUUGUCGGCAGGCAUUCUUUUCGGAUUGGGACUGAGUCUUAAUAUUUUAAAUGUAGGUACGUUCGGCACACAUGUAAAUGGAUCUGCACUGGUAGGCUUACAUGUUUAGAGAUCUUAGGAUCUGCACUGGUAGGCUUACAUGUUUAGAGAUCUUAGGAUAGAAUCACAUUUGUAGCGAGAACAAACUUUGAAUGGUUAGAAUGCCUCUAUGUAUUUUAUCAUUUUAUAAAUUAAAUGUUUCCAAGGCAAUAUCUCUCUCUCUCUCUCUCUCUCUCUCUAUCUCUCUAUCUCUCUAUCUCUCUAUCUCUCUAUCUAUCUAUCUAUCUGUUGCACAACAUGGACACUAUUCAACUGCAAAUUUUCUUGGAGAUUAAUAGUCAGUGAGAUAUCUAAGGUGCUGACUUGCCUACUGUUAUUUUAUUGUGUGCUCGUUAUAUUGUGAUUUAUUGUAGAGCUUAACUACUGCUGCUGUGAUAUAAAUGAGGGCCGCCUUGUUGGGAAACCAGAACUGUCUUUGGAAUUGGCAAGCUUAGCAGUAAAGCCCGUACGAUAUAUUUGGGAAACGGAAACCAGGUGCCAUCCUUGGAAUCAGCUAUAUACUAGAUCCGGAGUCUCUGGAUCCCGUAGUCAAUUUAGGCCGACGCGGACGGAGGUGGGUAAUGACAAUAUGUUAUUAUCUAUUUGGGGUUUCUCCAAAAUUCUAUCUUGCCAAACCAUGGAUUGGUGAGCAGGUUGAGUGAAAUGUCUAUCCCUUCGGUGUGAAGCUAUGUUGUGAUAGUUUGCCUUUGAUCGAAUGCCUCUUGGUUUGUUGGGCUUUGUUCUGUGAUGGAAUAUGGAAUGAGGCUUUGAACUUUGUCCUGAUAGAUGAUUCUUAGCAUAAUCUGCCAUCUAUUAUGAUCACAUUUGCAAAACCCCGGGGUGUUAGAACUGGACAAACUAUUAUUGAGAUGCAAGAAUCACAGUAUAUCUAAACCCGGUUAUAGAGUUGGAAAUUUAUGGUGAAGUAGUAUAGCCUGUUGAGAACUUUUCACGGUAUCAGAGUCAGUUGACCCAUGUGAAGACGGGUUGCUAUUGUUUGCAUCUGAUUAAUCCCAUUGGUGAUCUCUGGGCUCACAGAAGCUAUAUGUUGUGCUAUUGUGAUAAAACACAUGCUUGUGAUUGUCUGUUGAGCCUUGGAAGUUGGAAGAGAGCCGUAUGUAUGCAAGACAACCUAAAGAAGGCAGCUUUAUUGUUUAUCAGAGACUGGUUUUUCAGGGGCAGCCUGGUCAUCACUCAUCACCGAUUCUCUUGUGAAAAUGUUUUCAAUUAUUAUACAUGUCUUAUUAUGCUGUUACAGUGUUCAGCGCAGAUGCAACUCCCUAUCCACAGUCCUCGGAUGCCUGACAAGGGAUCUUCAAGUGUAUGCCAAUCGCAAGUAUAACUUCAGUGUGUUUCGCUAUGAUCUACCCUUGAAGAAAUUACCGAUCCAUGAAUUUUCUUCCGGAAGUUUAGUAGAGUUCAUUUAGGAAAGGACUUCAGUUGGGAAGAUGUCAGUGCAUGUUCUCACAGGGUUUCCUCUAUCUAAUGAAUGGAACAAAUCCUGGCUCUCACGUCUCUUAGGAUCCGGGUUUUCCAAUGAAAUCACAAUAUUCUUGUAACUUUUUUUUUUUUUUUGGGAGCAACACAGUUACCGUUUAGUGAUGGGGGGGGAGAAUGAAGAAAGAAGGUGGUGCUGGUGAUCUAGUUAGAGCAGAGAACUCCAGAGAAAACACGAGGACAAACAACACCGGAGAGACAUCAGAAUAAGUAGGGGGGACACGAAGGUUUAACAGAAGAAGAAUAGGAGCUCCACCUUUGGGUUGUUUAUGAUUACAGCAGGAUCUUUAGUGACUUGGGUGUUUUAUGUCUUUUUAUUUCUCUGUUAUUUUUAUUUUGACUUUAUCUAUCACAAUUCUACGCGAAACUCAGCCCCUGAUCCCAUCCCUUAGGUUGCAGUGGCUGGAUACUGCAGCAUACCUAGUCAGUGUCAUUAACUCUUUGUAAAAAUUUUAAGCUGAUUGCCACCUCUCCAAAGGAAAAGUUAAUUAAUUGUAUCUUAAACCUACCCUUAUGUCAAUGUAGCCCAGCAAAUAACCAACAUUUAAGAAGGCAGGGCAGUUGAUCCAAAAAUUCCAGUUGCAAGUGAGCUGCAGGUACUAUUGCAUGAUGAGCGAUAUAUGCUGGGCACCUUCAGAUGACAUGUUUGUGGAAUUAAUGUUUCGGAUAGAACGUUUCAUUCAUCUCCCUUUGGUUUAGAGAAUUUAAUGGAACCCCCAGUACUUCUUUCCAAAUUCAUGAAAGGAUACAGCUGCUAUUGAGUGAGCACUCAUAACACUUGAAAUAGAAAUGUCAGGUUUCUGACAGACAGAUAUUUUCCAAUUAUUACUAGUAGUAGUUGUUUUCGAGUGUAUGGCCUUUCUCAGUACCCAUCACUGUAAUCAUUAUUUUAUGCUGCGUCUGCCCCAUAUCUAUCCCCAUUUCACAAGAAUCCACCCCUUGUCCGUAUUAAUUUGUUUGAUAUUUUUGAGCUCCCUAACAGUGCUGGAAACAUGUACUGCAUGCAUACUUAUUUUCUCCAAUGGGUACCAAAACCCGCGGCCUGUAGAGCACGCCGUCACCAGUACUGCAUGUGCAUAUAUCGUACCGUGCCUUGCCAUGUUCUCUUUGGGUGGAGUUUUGGCAGGUAGCAUGAGUGCGACAUGGAUUUUAUUGGCUUCCGCCUAGUUGUGUAAAUGGUGAACCCACCCACAAUGUAAGAUUAAUUGAUCUUGACCAUGAAGUCAUACCUAACAAGCCAGCUGACUGAUACAUGCAUGAAGACUCGAAUACAAUUCCAAUUGACUUGCAGAUCUAACUGGACUUCAGGAGGAAGAAAUUAAACUGUUUUUAGGAGGCAAAUUAAGGACUUGUAUAAUUAAAUAGGUCUUCUCCCCAAUCAACUGAAUGGGAGACUCGUGGAAUCAAUGCAGGCCACAUGCCGAUAGGAUAUGGGAUAAGCAUAAAUGUGUGAAGGGCAUUAAUUCUCAUGGAUUUUAGGGUAAAAUCCCACUUUCAGAUAACAUCUCCUGGCAAUGGAACUUCAUUCGGGCACAAGAAAUCAUGUUACAGUUUUGGAAUUAAUGAUCAGUCAGUAUGAUAAUAAUCAUUCUUUGAGGAGGAGGGUUCAUAAAUAUUAAUUGGAAUUACAGUAUAUCUACUUUAAAGUAUGAUUAGAAGUAGAAUAAUGACAGGAAGAUGCCCAUAGAAAUGAUGCCGAAUAAUAAGAUCAUGGUCACUGUGUGUUGGUGAAACAAGCAAGAGUGCAGUUAUAAUUUCCUUUUUGCCUGUUGAUGGGUGGGUGGUAUUUUUUUAUUUCAUGAGAGGCCAAUCACCGAUUAAAUCAAUAAGCUUCAAAUGCAUGUUGUAGGGCCUGUAAUGCCUGUCCUUUUUAAGCAAAAGUAUGUCCUGCGCAUGCAAGAUACCGCAUAUUGAGGAACAAGGUUCCUGUGUGACCGUCAAUCUCCAAAUAAUUUGAUGAUGACUACCAGUGUGAUGUGAAUAUAAGAAAUGCAUGACGCCCCAACUCAAAUUUAGUUGCUCUAACAUGGGAAGUUUCAAAUGUAGAACAGGAGCCUGAAUGUAAGGUACACUCGGUAGAUCUUGAAAUGUGGAUAUUUUAAGUAGGCACAUUAAGAGCAUGUGUAUAAAUAUGUGCAUAAUAAAAGGGGACCAUGCAUGUAGAUACAUAAGGGUGUACAAGCCAAAUGGUGAUAUGGGGCAACCCUAGAAUAGUUACCGUGCUAUUCCACAUCAAAUAGAAAAAGAAAUAUAAGAAAUGCAUGACGCCCCAACUCAAAUUUAGUUGCUCUAACAUGGGAAGUUUCAAAUGUAGAACAGGAGCCUGAAUGUAAGGUACACUCGGUAGAUCUUGAAAUGUGGAUAUUUUAAGUAGGCACAUUAAGAGCAUGUGUAUAAAUAUGUGCAUAAUAAAAGGGGACCAUGCAUGUAGAUACAUAAGGGUGUACAAGCCAAAUGGUGAUAUGGGGCAACCCUAGAAUAGUUACCGUGCUAUUCCACAUCAAAUAGAAAAAGAAGAGGCUCCUUAGAAGAAGUAUAUAUAUAUAAACUCUCUUAAUUGUGUAUACAUGUUUUGAAGUUACAAAGGUAUAUUGAGCUUAAAUUAGAUAAUAUUCAUAUAAUUGAAAGUAAAUUAUUAUAUAAUGGUAUCAGAAUUGACCUCUAACCCUAAUGUGAGAGUUUAUUCAGGUUUUAGCCUGGAUGGUAUUUGACCUUAUAAUCUUGUGAAACACAAUAAAGACAUUGUGUCGGUAUGAAGAGUGAUUGUGAUAUCUAUGAGUGCCUAUUUGGCUCAAAUUGGACAAUAUUUACGGUUAUCUACAAUCAAAUAAGUAGGUCAGGUUUUUAUCAUUUAGAUUUUAAGAAAUAAGGUCUAAAAUCUAUGGUAACAAGAAAUUAAAGUAAAAUGAAAUAUAAAGAAAUAAAGAUUAAAGAAAAAUAGAUAAAAAUUUUAUAAUAACACUUUCAAUGAGUCUUACCUAGAAAAAAAUUAAUGAAGUCUCACCAUAUUGAGAAAGGUAAUAAAAAUUUAAUAUUAAUAUUCAUCACUACUUAAUCCUAUUUUAUAUCAAUUAGUCUUAUUUACGGAUUAACUAAUUAAAACUCUUAGGCUUUGUGUGAGGAAGUGUUUUUUAGAAUAAUUUUUUAAAACUAUUUUCUAAUGUUUUAUAAAACAAAGGUUUAUUUGAAAACUUAAAAUACAUGCUUACGAUAUUGGUAAUUGUCUCCUAGGAAACAACAAUCAUUUUCUUGUGAUAAUAGAACUUCAAAUCACAAGAAAUGACGAAUCACUUGGUGAUUUAUAUUAUCUUAAAUACCUAAAAAACUUAGUAGAAAAAAGAAAGAUUAAACUUAAACUAAGAACUUAAAAGUUUAAGAGACUUGGAAAAGAGAAAGAACGUAGAUAAUGGAUAAAUGAAUAAGUGAAGAAAAAAAAGACGAGUAAGUUUAUUUAUAAAUUUUGUUGAUGACUAUUAGAAGAAAUAGAUCUUUAAGACACUAGACAUAUCCAUUAAAUAGUUGUGCCAUGAGACAUUGGAGUCACAUCCUUUGGAAAAGGUUAUGUCUUUAAAACACUAGACACAUCGUUUGAAACAAGUUGUAUCUAUUAAGAAACAUAUCUUCCAAAAGAAAAAAAUGUGUUCUAAUUUCCAUUCACCUAUAUAUGAAUUCCAACAGGGAUAACCUUUCUUUUGGGAACCAUUUCAAAAUUUAUAAAAUCAAUUAUGCAUUCACCCAAUGUGUAAUCUAUAGUUGAUUCAUCCUCACUAAGUUCAAUUACCAUAAAGAAUAGACAUUUCAUCUACCCUCUAAACCUCUUAACUGCCGUGGCACUCAUGUUAGUUUUCCACCGAAGAACAAUAAACUCAACAUGGAAUGUGGACCAAUUUCAAUAAUUAAUGGCUCUUAGCUCAGGCAAGAGGUAGUGGAGAAUUUGAAGAACAAAAUAUCUGAUAAGAGCAAGAGAUAAAUCCCCGUGAACACUUCCCACGUCAAACAUGUCCCUCGCGAACUUUUUGUGCUUUUUUGUCCAGCUCACCUAAUACAGAGAGUCGGAAUAAACACUUUUAUCAUGGUGGGCAAGCGAUAUCAUGUGCCAAAUACAUUAUGGGCCCUCUUAUUUGACUCAAGCUGGCUUUUCAUGAUAAGCAUUGGGGGCUGGCACGAGAAGAAAUAUCUAAUUUAAUUAUGCCAUAGACAGAAAUCAAGUCAAGAGUGACAUUGCAGAAUAUAUUUAAAUUUAACAUAGAGAAGAAAUUAUUGUUAGAUGUGUAACUUGUUUGAUUCUUUGAAUUGCUGUAGGACCAUGAUCGAAGAAGUCUGCUUCGAGGCGUACAGCUUUUGCUGCAUGUCCAAUGAAAAUGGACUACUAUUUUGUUUAACGAUCCUUUGAAAUAUGGAAAUGUGAGAAAUGUUUAUGUUUUUCCUAACCCUUAGAAAUGAGUUUUAUCUUGUAUCAUUUAUUUACAUAGAAUCUGAAAAGGUGAAUCUCAAUAAUGGACUACACCUAGAGGGAGGUGAACAGGUGUUGUAGAACAAUUUAAAAUUCUCCCAACAAAGAUUACCUAAUCUUAGACUAUCUCAAUGUCAAGAAACUUCUCUCCUAACAACUUUUCAACAAAGCAUAACAUCCACAAGCAAUAAUGUAUGCAUCAACAUUCUCCCAAUAAUUUAUAAAUGCAAAACACAUGCAAAUGCUUCAACACUCCUCAAAAAUAAAUCAAAAGAACAAUCAUUUCCUCAACUCAUAUCAAUUAACUCCAUGAUAUCAUUAAAUAAAAUGAACAUAAAAAUUAUUAAGGAUAUUUCAUGGAUCAUCACACUUAUAUCACCUCAUAUUUCUUCCAUUCAACAUGUAUGUCCAAGUAAUCAAUGAUAUCAAAAACAAAAAAUAAUUCAAAGUGUAGAGUGAGAGAAAGAGACCAUGAGCACCGGAUUUUUAACGUGGAAAACCUCCGAAGAGAUCAAAAGUCACAAGCCUAUCACCAAUUGAAAAACUCCACUAUGAAGAAUAAAAACCAAGUACAAGGUUUUACCUAAUUCAAGCCAACCAAUCCUUCCCGGAUUACUUGACUAGUACCUUCACUUUUAGCUUUUUACCUUCUUCUUCCGGAACACACUUGGAGUCUGCACCAAACUCAAUUCGCCUCUUCUUGAAUCCACACAAGAAGCAAAUUGGUUUUUUUGCACAAACCCAAAUAGAAUGAGAGAUUGAGAUAUGAAUGAAGGAAUGAAUCAACCCAUUGAUUGCUAAAGAAAAUUCAUUAAAAACUAGUUGGAAAACCUUAAGAGAAGUGGAUUUUCUUUGCAAUCAAAAACCCCAAAUUAGGAAAACAAAAUGAGAAAAUGAAGAACACAUGGAGUGGCUGCUCUCUCCACGUUUUCUACAGUCACUCUGCAGAAAAAUGAAAGAAGAUUGUUUUUUAAAGUGUAAAAAGAAGCCCUCAAUCUAAUGGUUGAGAUUUGACAAAAAAAAAAAAAAAAAAUUAGUUGGAUCAAUCCAAAAUCUGGGAAAUAUAAGUCUUGCACAAAAAAUCAUUUCUCCCAACUUUCUAACACAUUUAAAGAUUAAAAAUUGGGUUGAUUCACAUUCAAUCAUCACACACUCGGCUACAUACCUUGGCCUCUUAGCAAAAUCUUAUUCUUCAGAAUUAAAUAGUCUGAAGAGGAAUUGGGAAGCCGAGUUAGGGGACACUUAUUUGUCCAGAAUUAUCAACCUAGCUAAACACUCACAGAAUCAUUGAAAUGUGUGUGUGUGUGUGUGUGUGUGUGUGAGAGAGAGAGAGAGAGAGAGAGAGAUUUUAAGCUAAGUACAAAAAACAAGAUUCAGCCCGGCCUUUAGAAGCUAAGGAAAACAUAAAGUGUAUAUAUAGUUUGUGUCAAAAACAUGAGAGAGAGAGAGAGAGAGAGAGAGAGAGAGAGAGAGAGAGAGAUUUUAAGCUAAGUACAAAAAACAAGAUUCAGCCCGGCCUUUAGAAGCUAAGGAAAACAUAAAGUGUAUAUAUAGUUUGUGUCAAAAACAUGUCCGCAAUCCAAAUUAAUUGACUUCAAAAUUUUCUUUUGCUUGAAAUAACAUAUGGGGCCUUAAUUUGGGAUCAGUACUGCAAUGAAUUUGUUGUUUGCACCGGAAAUAAGGGAGCAUAUACAUGUAUUGUAUAGGAUUUUGUUUGGUGGGAGACUAAAAGUGAAAGUUCUCUCAAACCCUAGUAAAUAUUGGCCUCCUUAGAGGUUCAACAUUUAGCUGGAUCAGGAAGGACCAGACUGACUAAUAUCAAUGCCAUCUACUCUUCCACAAAAAGUAAACUAGUCCAUACUGCACUUACAAAUAAGGUAAUGCAGCAUAACUAGUUUAACACACUAGCUAAUUAGUUCAUUUCACUCAAUAAUUAUGCAAAUUUAGAAGAUUGGGGGAGAUCAUAGAAGCAUCUAGAGGUGAGCACAUUGACCUUGUAGAGGAAUCUAGAGCAUAUCAAUCUCUGCAGGUGUCUAGAGGUUGCUUCUGAAUUGGGGCCUCACCCACCAGACAAGGAAUUGUAUUUUCAAUUGGGGUAUGCCCCAUCUGCCUGAAUCAUAUUUUGCCAUAUUCAUACAUGUACUUAUUUAUGUGGACCAUGUGAUCUAUGUUGGAGUAAUGCACAUCAGUGUCUCUAUUGAAUGUUCUAAACCUCAUGAGCCACUGAAAAUAUAUAUAUAUAGAAUAUAAAUAUCGAUAAAAAUAAAAACCAGAAAUAUAACACAAUCAUUCUGCGCAUGAAAAAUUGAAAUGAUAUAUCAUAUAUCCGUCUCAUAAGAUGUAGAAUCACAUCCGCCUAAAGCAACUGAAAACGCUCCAUGUUAUAAAAGGGACAGAAAGAUCCUCUUAUGGAUGAAUAUGCUAAUCGAGUUCUAUUUCCCAAUGUUCAGCCACAGCCAGUAACACUGAGGAGGAGUACAAUUAAGUAGCAAAAGUGGUAAAAAUGAAAUAUUUAUGAUUUGGAAAAAAGGGUUGAACGAGAAGCUACCAACUGAAUCGUGUUAAUAAUUUGCAGACAGAGAUGACUAGCUAACAGGGACCUUUCAUAUGGGAGGUGAAAUCUAAAAGCCUCAAUCACAUGCAGUGGUCUCCCAUAUUUACACUAUCCACGCCGUUUCAGCUCUUUAAUUUUCUCUCUCACUUUGUCCUUAGAACAACAGUCUACCUUAUCUCUAACCUCCUCAAAACCCUAUAUAAAUCAAGCAGAAGUACCAAGGAAAAGCACCAUGAAUUCAUCAAAAAAAGCAAGUCAUGGCUAAGUUUAGAAGUAACAGUGCUAAGAAAAAGAACGGCAUUGUAAGGCUUAAGAUUGUUGUAGAGAAGCUGCAAAAGAGCCUUUCAUUGGGGAAGAAAUCAGCUUCUGACUAUGACGAUCUUGAAGAGGUUAUUGACUCAGCAUAUGUGCCACCUGAUGUCAAGGAAGGACACUUUGCAGUGAUUGCAGUGGAUGGCCAGGAACCUAAGAGAUUUGUGGUUCCACUCAAUUUUCUUACUCACCCACCAUUCUUGAGGCUUUUGGAGCAAGCAGCUGAGGAAUAUGGUUUUGACCAUGAGGGUGCAUUAACAAUCCCUUGUCGGCCCAGCGAGCUUGAGAGGUUACUGGCUGAGCAAUGGAAGCCGGAGAGAGAUCAUAGCGUUGGUGUCAACUGGGAUUCCUGUAAAACCUUGGUUAAGAGCUGUUAGGUCUGGAGGAGCAUGCAUGCUGCUUUGAUUCCAUUCAUUGAUGGGAAUCUUUUUCCAUGUUCCUGUAUUCAGCCCUCUCCCUUGUUUCAUCUAUUAGAAACUUGUUAUCCUUCUGCAACGUACUUGUUUAUUUUUGGGUCGUUAUUAUAGCUUAUUCCUGAUCUGGAAAUAAACAACUUUUCUCUUACAGACUCUGAAAUGCAUCAUUUUCCUUUAUGAAGAAUACCCAGUUGAAAUGUACCCUAGUUUUCUGUCUUGAUUGUCAACUAUUGAAACAAGCUGAGGAUUAAUGCUAGAUUUUCUGACCAAAAUAAUACUGAAUUUUCCCAUAAAACAUAAUGCUUAAAUAUCUUUAAUUUUUUCAAAGAAUUAAUUCAUAAAAUAUUGGACCCUACCUUGAAAUAUUAAAGGUUUGAUAAGCCUGUCAUACAACAUAAAUUGGCAAACAUGUGCAUGCAAGAAUUAACAAUCGCAUAACCCUAGAUUGGAGCUCCAAGCUCAAAUGAUAAAUGAAAUUUCAGGUUUGAACGCCAUCAAUCUCACAAAGUAACAAGUUUGAUUACAACAAAAUGAUAUGAAACCAUUUUUGGUUGUUUCCAGAAACAUAUCUCAGAACUAUUCAUUAGUGGGAUCCACAGUGCCUGCCUGCCAAAUUAUUUGUUAUAUGAUUGCUAUAGUUCAAGAAUCGGUACAUGGGAUCCACAAUGUUGUACCUCCCACGCAUCAGCGCGCAAGUUGAGACACUGCAUCACUGAAUUUCGAAAGAGAGAGCACUGGAGAGUGGAAACAAAGGGAUAAUAUAUACUCAUGCAAGGAGAAAAAUGAAGCAAUACAGAAUUUUAUUUUAUUUUUUUAUUCUUUUUCUUUUUAACGUGAAGAAUACUCUUCCCAAAUUGGUCCUGGAGAAAGUAUCUAGUCUGAGUUUAUAAGACAUAUCAUUAUAUUGCGACAGGAUUAAUGCAUAUGUAUCAAAUAUUCAAUGACAUAUUGUAGUUAUUCUCUACUAGCUAACAACGGUAUGAAUGCAUACCAAAACUACUACCAAUGUGUUUUCUCAUGGGGCACAUGCUCCUCCUUGUUGGGCAUGUGCCUUGUUUGUCUAGGCAUUUCACGCACUACAUGACUUUCUUAGCUAGCUGUGAGAGAUGAUGCUCUGAAUUGUUUACCGACCCAUCAUUUUUAUCCCCUUCCUUUUCAUUUGUGAUACUACAAGUUUUUAGAGGGAAAAAACAAACUGUGCUGAUCAAUGAUAACUCUUUAUAUAAUUUCCAAAACUUUUAACAAAAAGAAGAGCACCCCCAGAAGAAAAAAAAAAUAAGAGAAGGAUACUGAAAACGAGAGCAUUUAGACUGAAAAGUUAGGCACUCAAAAGCUUUAAUUACUACUGAAUCUAGGGCAUUGAAAACUUGACUUCUAUGCGGUAAGCAGCAUAUUCAAUUUUCAAUAGCAGUCUUAACAUUCUAUCUAUCUAUCAACUUUUAUGCCCAAAAAAUUCCGGUAUUCAGUACAUACCUCCCUCAUACUUCUUAGAAAAUCAAGCAAAACCUUGAGUACCAUGGAGAAUUCUUCUUGACCAAACAAUCUCACUUCUUACAUAAGUCUCCUUUGGUCAUCCAUUUGCCGAGUACAAUUAUAUUGUUGAGCUGAGAAAGGGAGGUUCUUCCUUCAGUUCAACAGUAAAGUGUAAAUUAAUGAAAGCCCAUUUAACUCAAGUUGCCCUAGCUUUUUUCAAAGAACACCCUCUAUAAUGCGGCAAUGAGUGUGUUGCACUAUGACAACCCUCGCUCUUGUGGGGAGCCACCUCUUAUAAAACAUGGAAUUAUGAGUUCCACAAAGUCACAAACACUAGGGGUUUUUUUAUUAAUUAUUGCACUUUUGAAACCAUCUCUUUUACAUCUAACAGUUUUCCCACCAUUAAAAAUGAUGCCCAUGUCCUAAACUACAGUGGCAUUCAGCAAUAAUGACUUCACCUGUUGGGCUAUACAAUAGUUGGAAGCAUAUUUUAAGUCAUAUAUUCGUGGCAGUUGGUACCAGCUGGUUAAUUGAAUCAGUACUGAUCCUUUAAUGUGAAGCUGGAUUGUGAUAGUUUGCUGCUCUGAUUAUAUCCUUUUCCUGCUGCUGGGCAUUGAGAUCAGUUGCUUAUGAAAGCCAAAGUUCUGGUUAAGUGAUGUGAUUAAGUACUCUUGAGAUGAACUUAUGCUUCAGAAUCGUCCUUGUAGUUUUAGGGAAGAGUGACUUGUAACGGAAUUAAUGGCGCCAUCAACUUAUAAUUUGUCUAGAGAAAUUAUGGAAUGGUUCCACAGAAGCCUGAAGUGGACAAACAACCCUUGGAAUCAGCGGAAGUCACGGUCUCUAAUGCCUGAAUGGUCUUUUCUGGGCUGGUAGAGCUGCUUGACAUAUCAAGCACGUGUAUGGUCAAGUGGGUUUGGCUUCUUGUGAACUUUUCAGACGUGUUCUCUUGCGUUGUCAAUGAUUGGCCCUUUUCUUCAGUUUCAGUUGCUCUAGAUUCAAUCUUCUCCAAGUUAGUGAUUUCUAGUAUUAAACUAAUAGAGCUGCAACAAAUACACAAACAAACAAUUAAAUAAUCUUUAAAAAAAAAAUUAGAAAGAAAUUAUUGUCUUCCAUGAAUAUUUUUGUUCAAAUAUCAUAUAAUUUAUUUAUAAAUAUUCACACUUCGAAUAAGAACUCCCGAUAACAAAAUUAUAAAAGCCUUUAGAGCGUGUUUGGUACACGGGAAUAGGGAGUGAGAAUAGACAUCUCAUUCCUUUUCUCCCUUAUUCCUAUGUUUGGAUAAAUGUUAAGAAGGUGGAAAUGAAAUAAAAAAUUAUUCCGGCAGAAACCAAAUCCAACUUAUGAGUCGGAUUUGCAUUCAUUAAAAAUAGGUGGUAUUCUGAUUCAUUAAACCUAUUUGAUAAUAUAAAAUAAUCUAAAUUACUAUUUUACCCUCUUAUCUUGUUCUUCAAACCCGAUGUUUAUCUUCUUUGUAAAGGUAUAGAUCCAUUCAUCAUCCACUUCUUAUCUUCUUUGCAAAGCUAGAGACCCACUCAUCAUCCAAUUCUCUGCAACAAGUGAUUCUUCCAAAUUGAAUCAAUUAAACCUUCCACGAUAUUUAAAAAAAAAAAAUCAAUUUCUAAUUUAUUGGGUUUUGGAUGUUCAUUUUGAUUGUUGGAUCUAGGAUUUGUCAUUGUUUGCUGCAACUAGGUUCUGAAAACUCCCUUCUACAUCUUCGAUCAGGUUUACCUUAUUUUCUCUUUCUUCUUCUACUUCUUUAUAUGUGUUUCUUCUUCUCUAUAAAUUGAUUAAUUUUUUUUUUAUUAAUUUAUAUUUGGAAUCUUUGAUGUUUCUUUAUCUUGUAUUAAUGGAAACUGGAGAGAAAAAUUGAAAUGGUUGGAAAAAGAUUUUUUGAUUUCACGUGUUUACAAUAUUGAAAAUUUUUAAUGGUUAGGAAAAAAAUAAAAAGAAAAAAACAAACAAAAACAAAACUUUUGGUUUUUUUUCCCCUUUGUUUAUUAUUAUCGGUGUCUUCCUUUCCUAGUUAAAGCUAUGGAUUCUGCCGUCUCGUAGAAAAUCUGCUGCGUUUCCGGCUCAUUUUGGAACUUUAGCAUAGGCCACAAUGAAGAUCUCUUCAUAUCAUUGUUAUUUAACAGUAAACAAACCAUUAAGCACCAAGAAACCAACAUUGAUUAAUUUUUUUAUUCCAACUGCUAUUGAUCUAUAUCGGCCCAACUUUAAGUUUGAUGUAGACAGCCCAAGGAGAUUUGCAUGAUGCAAAUCUCCCGACCUAAGCCACAUCACAUCACAACACCAAUGCCAAUAAAACAUGAUUUUCAUACCUUUCCAAAUCCAAUAAAUUAGAUUACCAGAAUGACCGACCGAUGGCACAUAGAAAGAUUCAAGCAACAGUAUAAUAAAAUAUUUAGGUGGGGUUAAAUUAAAAUCUGCAACUUCAAGAAAAAGUCAAGAUGAGCUCUGUACCAUUGUCACUACUGAUCUUCCCAGGCAUUCUGUUGUGGGCAUCUUAUUAAGGCAAAUUAUGGACAUUAUUUAAACAACCAAUAAAUUUAAUGAUUAAAAAACCCAUGAUUGUGAGGUCAAACAUAGAAUAUUUAAUCUUUUUAAUAUUUAUUAGUUGUUUAAGGCAUAUUUGCCUACAUUGAAACAGUAGCCAGAAUAAACGGACCAAAAUUUGGAAUUAAUGAUUCAAGUAACAAUAAAUUUAGAAGUAAUGCCUACCAUGAUUGUGAGGACUACCAUGAUUCUGACCAUAUACAAAAAUGUCAACAGAACAUAUGGUUAUGUUAAAUAGAUUAAUUUAAUUUUUGCUAGAUUUCCCAAGCAAGAGUAUUGUAAUGAUAAAUUUUGCCUAUUUGUAUUUAAUUAUUUAUUUAAAUUUUGCCUAUAAUAAAUAAUUUUUUUUUUGAAAAAUAUAAUUUUAUAACUACUUAAGCAUGACAAAUUAUUCAAAUUUUUAAUAAAAAUAAUAAUUGAAUAUUUGUGCAUUAGGGUUAUACGAUUUUUUAUGGUUAAUUUUUUAUUUAUUGAGUGUAUAUAUAUUUUUUAGUCUUAUUAUUUAAUAACAAAAAACCUCUCAAAUUUUAUUUUUUUAAAAUAAAAGUAAAAAUUAAAAAAAAAAUAUUUUAAAUUAUAUGUAAGGAUAUUAUUGUAAAUUUAUUUAUUUUUCAUUUCCAUUCCUAUUAUUAUCAAACAUUGGAAUGGAAACAAAUAAUCAUUCCAAUCUUGCAUUCCUAAGUUCAUCCAAAUGCUAGAAAUGGAAUUAUUAAAUUCAUUUCAUUCCACUAAAAAAUAGGAAAGGAAACAAAAUAUUAUUUCCAUUCCCUAUUCCGACGUACCAAACACCCCCUUAAAGUAAGGCUGUAAUUUGGGCUGAUUGGUGAGUUAGAAGGCUAACCCGUACCAAACCCACCAUCAAUAUAUCCCAUCCAUAUCAAAUCUAAUCUAAGUUGGGUUGAGAAUUACCAACUCAUGUCAAUGUACAAUUCGGGUUCCCACGGUUCUUGUGAGUUUAAGUAAAAUAACUAUUUUGAAGUCUAUAUCAAAUAAACCAUAUUAUAAAAUGAAAGAUUAAAAGUUAAAUGUCUCCUGGAAUAUUUACUAGUUAUAAAUAUGAUAUAAAUAACAAUCCAAAAACUUGAAUUUCAAUUAUAAAAUAAUAAAAAAUGAUGAAUCUAUUAGUUUAAGAUAAUUAAAAAGUGAUAAAUCAUAACCCAAGAUAAUUUUAAAGUAAGAAAUCUUAGAGUUUAUUUUUUUCCGUUUUUAUUUUUUAUAUUAUAAAUAAAAUAAUAGAUUAUAUAAUUUAAAGAUAAUGAAUAAAUAAUCAUAUGUGAACUCAGGUGUAAAGACCCGCACCCAACCAUGUAGAUAUUAUCCGCUUUGGGCCCAAGAGGGCCCUCACGGCUUUAAAACGCGUCUACUUGGUUAAGAGGAGUCUCUACAUAUAUAGUGUCAGGAACAGUCUCCCGUAUCUGAUGUGGGACAUCACAAACACCCCCCCCCCAUGCAGACACAACGUCCUCGUUGUGUCCCAUGGGAUUGUGGGGCCAAACAAACCCCCACACCGGGGUCGGGGAUCAACUAUGAUACCAUUUGUAAUGGUCCACUCCCAACCGUGUAGAUAUUGUUCGUUUUAGACCCAAAUGGGUCAUCGCGACUUUAAAACACGUCUACUUGGUUAAGAGGAGUUUCUACAUAUAUAGAGUCAUAAACUUUCUCUCCUAUCUGAUGUGGGACAUCACAAAAAGACCCCCCCCCCCCAUGCAGACAUAACGUCCUUGUUGAGUCACAUGGGAUUGCGGGGUCAAACAAACAAAUACCCAUUACAAGGCCAAACAAACCCCCACAUCGAGGUCGAGGAUCGGCUUUAAUACCAUUUGUAAUGACCCGCUCCCAACCAUGUAGAUAUUGUCCGCUUUGAAUCCAAAUGGGCCCUCACGGCUUUAAAACGCGUUUUAAAGUCGUGAGGGCCCCUUUAGGUCUAAAGUGGACAAUAUCUACAAGGUUGGAAGUGGACCAUUACAAAUGGUAUCAGAGCCGAUCCCCGACCCCGGUGUGGGGGUUUGUUUGGCCCCUUAAAGGGUGUUUGUUUGUUUGGCCCCACAAUCCCAUGAGACACAAUGAAAACAUUGUGUCUGCAUGGGGGAGUGUUUGUUAUGUCUCACAUCGAAUAGGGGAGAAUGUUUCUAGCGCUAUAUAUGUAGAGGUUUCUCUUAACCAAGUAAACGCGUUUUAAAGCCAUGAGGGCCCCCUUGGGUCCGAAGCGGACAAUAUCUACAUGAUUGGGUUCGAGUCGUUACAAAUGGUAUCAGAGUUGAUCUCCAACCUUGAUGUGGAGGUUUGUUUGGCCCUGUAAUGGGUAUUUGUCUGUUUGACCCCGCAAUCCCAUGGGACACAACGAGGACGUUAUGUCUGCAUGGGGAGGUGUUUGUGAUGUCCCACAUUAGAUAUAGGAGAAAGUUUUUUACUUUAUAUAUGUAGAGACUCCUCUUAACCAAGUAGACGCGUUUUAAAGUCGUGAUGACCCUUUUGGGUCUAAAGCGGACAAUAUCUACACGGUUGGGAGUGGACCAUUACAAAUGGUAUCAAAGUCGAUCCCCGACCCCGGUGUGGGGGUUUGUUUAGCCCCAUAAGGGGUGUUUGUUUGUUUGGCCCCACAAUCCCAUGGGGGUGUUUGUGAUGUCCCACAUCGGAUAGGGGAGAAUGUUCCUGACGCUAUAUAUGUAGAGGCUUCUUUUAACCAAGUAGACACAUUUUAAAGUCGUGAAGGCCCCCUUGGGCCCAAAGCGAAUAAUAUUUACAUGGUUGGGUGUGAGUCGUUACAAAUGGUAUCAAAGCCGAUCCCCGACCUCGAUGUGGAGGUUUGUUUGGCCCUAUAAUGGGUAUUUGUCUGUUUAACCCCGCAAUCCUAUGGGACACAACGAGGACGUUAUGUCUGCAUAGGGGGGUGUUUGUGAUGUCCCACAUCGGAUAGGGGAAAAAGUUUCUGACUCUAUAUAUAUAUAGAGACUCCUCUUAACCAAGUAGACGCGUUUUAAAGUCGUGAGGGCCCUUUUGGGUCUAAAGCGGACAAUAUCUACACAGUUAGGAAUGGACCAUUAUAAAUGGUAUUAGAGUUGAUCCCCAACCCCGGUGUGGGAGUUUGUUUGGCCCUGUAAGGGGUGUUUGUUUGUUUGGCCCCACAAUCCCAUGGGACACAACGAGGAUGUUGUGUCUGCAUGGGGAAGGUGUUUGUGAUGUCCCACAUCAGAUAGGGGAGAAUGUUCCUAGCGCUAUAUAUGUAAAGGCUCCUCUUAACCAAGUAAACGCGUUUUAAAGCCGUGAGGGCCCUCUUAGGCCCAAAGCGGAUAAUAUUUACAUGGUUGGGUGCGGGUCGUUACAUUAGGUCUCAACAAGUUGCUCAAACACUCAAUUUUUCUAAUUGAAGCCUAAUCCUAACCCAUGCAAAACCCAAGCCUAAUCCUAACCCAUUCAAACCUUGUCUAUGUCAACGUACCCAAACUCAAAUCAAGCAUGGGACAAGUUAAAGCUCCCAAACUACAUCCAUAUCCAGAAAAUUCAAUUACUUAAAUAUAAAAACUAAUAAACCACUCAAAUUAGAAAUAUUCUAAUUGACUUUUCAAACCUAAAUCAAAUUUAAAAAGUUUUUAGAAAUUUCCUCAUUUCAAGUGCAUUUUUAGACUUGACCCCUUAAACUUGAUUUGUAACUCUAGGAAUCAUACGGGUCUUUUAAAAUUUUGAUUUGUACGUCUCUAUUUUUCCUUUUGCAUGCAUUCUUCUUAAUUUGUAUUUUAACACUCACCUUACUCUAAUUAUCUUUAUCUCUUUUGAAGGAGAUUUUAAUUCUCAUAUAUCAUUGUUCUUUAAUUGCUUUUAUUUUUUCGUCCAUAACAUACCAAAACAAAAACAAAAAGUUAUAUCAUUUUUAUUUUUGUUCAUUCAUAACUAAAGUUUUGCUAAAACUUCUAAAAUACAAUGUCAUUUCACUUGAAUCUUUCAAAGAAAAAGAUAGAAUAUUACGGGGUGGAUAAAAAGAAGAAUGCAAAACCCAUAAUUUAGAAACAGAUCUAUCAAUAGCUAUUUGACCAACAAAAUUAAGGUUAAGAGAAUUCUACGAUAAGACUUAGUAAGAAUUGAAACAACUAAUGGCAUUUUCGAAGCCCUAUAAAGUGAGCUAGAUGAGACUAAUAAUAAUAAUAACAGAAAGUAGUUUCAUUUAAAGUGAGCUAGAUGAGACUAAUAAUAAUAAUAACAGAAAGUAGUUUCAUUUAUCUCUCGGUGUGUUGUUCUUCACAGCUUGGAAUAGUACAAUGAAGAGUGUUGGGGCUAAAGAUAAUUUUGUUAGAACUUUAUGAGUUGAUGGAAGUAGGAAUGAAGGUGGAGUAGUGAUUUUUUAAUACAAGCCUUCUCUUAUAUGUUCUCCUUUGUAGAAGGAAAGAAUAUCAUAGACACCUUCUUGAGCACCCCAAUCCUAUAUAAAUUCCUCUUCAUUAAAGUUGUUUCUUUCCAUUAAUUAGAUUAUACAGUUUGUAGCUUUGGAGUUUAGUCAUAACCUAUGAAAAAUUAUUUUCAACUUUGACCCUUUUGAUUUGACACAUAAGCAUAUACGAUACUUCCGAAUGUGAAUAUCUUGUUUCUCUUCUAUUCCAAGCUCAUUGGUGUUUUAUUCAAUACACUUUUAAUUAGGUGAAUGAUUUGACAAAUAAAUCGCACAACCAACCAUUAAAACCUAAAAUUUUUUAAACAUUCUUUUUUUUUUUCUAGCAUAAUUCAGACUAUGCAAAAAAAAAAAAAAAUCUAUUUUCCCUUUUAACGAUCUCAUUUUGAUAUAUUGUAUUUACUUAUUUUUUUGAAUAGGUGUUUUAAAUUUCUUAAAAAUACUAAAUACUUGAUAUUUUUCUUUCAAAAAAUAUAUUAAAAAUUUUCAACUAAAAUAAUCAAUAAAGAGAAAAAAAAUAUUCAUUCUUACCAAAAAGUUGCAUUCAUCAGUCACAUAAUUAAUUCGAGUGAUUUACAAAGGUCAAUCCUUAAUUUCAUCAUUUUCUUUUUCUUGUUUCAUAAUUUUAAUCCUCAAAAAUUAAAAUAUUCAAAUCUUAAGUGUAAGAUCCAAAAGGAAUUAUAAUAUCAUUUUAAAUGUUUGACAAGAAUGUUAUAUUUCUUGUCAUGGGCACAAUGACAAUCAAGUCAAAUUCACAUAUUGAUUUCCUAUUUGGAGAUAUUUUAAUUUUUCAUAUCAAUAUCAUAGUCUUUUCUAAAGGAUGGCAAUCAAAUUGUAAAUUCACAAAUUGAUUUCCAAUUUGGAGAUAUUUUAAUUUUUCAUAUAAAUAUCAUAGUCUUUUCUAAAAGAUCAAUCAAAUUGCAAAUUCACAUAUUGAUUUCCUAUUUGAAGAUAUUUUAAUUUUUCAUAUAAAUAUCAGUCUUUUCUAAAAAUUGACUCAAACUUGACCCAAUCUUAAAUGUUAUAUUGAUUUUUUCCAUUUUGCAAGCAAAUCAAGAAUGUACAUUUUUGUCUUAUAGUGAAAUUUUGGAUACAUCUCAAAAAUUAAUUAGCAUUCUUCAUUCAUUAAGCUCCACAAACAUAUUUUUUAAUCCACGCACAUGGUUGCAAGUUCCAUUGCCAAUAUACCACACAUUUUUCUCCUCAAUUUCUUCUUGUUUGCCAUACAUAAAUUAAUUCUUCUUUAUCUUUUUUUUUUACAUAGUUAGCUUUUCUUUCAAUAUUGCCAAUAGCACUUCUACAUGGAUCAGUAUAAUGACUAUAUUUUUUACAAUUAUAACAUUGAAUAUAAUAUUUAUCAUACCUUCCCUUUUUGUUUUACCUUGAGUUUCACCAUCUUUCACAUCUUCACGAGGAAUAUAAAUCUUGACUUAUUCUCUUACUUUUUGAUGUGAAACUGCCUCUUUGGCUAGAACCAUGUCUAUAAUCAUUUUGAAUUCUUUCAUUACCAUGAUUUUCUUCAUUCUAUUUUAUAGUAAAUUUUGUUUCAAGAACUUAGUCUAGUUUUUUUUUUUUUUUUUUGUUCUUCCUUAUUAAUAGUCUCUUCAUGAGCUUACAAUGAUUCAAGAAGUUGAGCAAUGAUAAUAGAAUCUAAAUCUUUAAACUCUUCAAUUGACACAAGAAUACAAUCAAACUCUAAAUAUAAAGAUCAAAAUAUUUUUUCAUCACCCGAGCCUCAUUCAAACUUCCACCAUUUUUUUUAAUACAUUCGCAAUGACCAAUACAUUUGAAAAAUAAUUAAAAUUUGAUUUAUAAUUCUCUCAUAUUCAAACUUUCAAACUCACCUCUAAAAUGUUUAAAGCUGAAUUUUUUUUUUACCUUAUCGACUUCUUUACUUGUCUUUUAUAAUAUCUUCCAUACAUUGGUGGUGGUAGGUGUAUUUGAAAUAUUCUUAAAAAUAAUUUCAUUCAUUAUUUUUAAUAGAUGAGAGUUCUUAUCUUUCUCCAUUAUAUCUUUCAAAAAAUCCAUUUAAUUUUGGGAUGGGUUGUUUCAUCUUAUUGCUCCUUGUAGUCUUUCUCAAAAACCUUUCAUGCAUCUUGUAAAUCGAAAAAGUUUUUAGCUUGAUGGUCCAAUUGUCAUUAUUGUUUUUACUAAGUUGGGUAUUUAAAACAGAUAUAUCCCACUUUUCCAUUCCUUGUGAUUCUAAUAUUAAUUUGUUGAAGUAAUAAGGUUGAAACACAAAACAAUCACAUUAGUAGAGAUAAAUAAUUGAGAAAAAAUUAAGAAAAUUUAAUUUAUUAUCUUCUAACACUAAACAAAAUUCCUAAUACCAAAAAUACAGCAACUUUAUAAAAUUCAAUUAUUUGAAUAUAGAAACUAAAUCAAUCACUCAAGAAAUAUUUUAAUUGAUUUAUAGAAAUCAAAUCAAAUUUUAAUUUUUUAAAAGCUUCCCAAAUUUAAAUUCACUUUCCUAUCAUUAGCCACAUGGAAUGAAUUAAUUAAUCUGCAUGCAUGCCGUCGUUGAUGUGAAGCCGCACAGCGAUUGUUUGCCUCUAAUUAAAUUCCUUUCCAGCUCACCCUUGAUAACACUGGCCAAGUAGUGCUAAAGCUAUUUUCUCUUAAAGUGAUAGGAUAAAGCACAGAGAUGAGCUCAUUCUCCACAUCGUCUGAUGCCCAAUGGACCCUUCAACUUUUCUGUGGAGAAUGAUUAAUAACGCAUUUUGAGAUCACCUACUGAUGAUGUAACUUUGUGCAAUCGUAUACUGCAUAAUAUUGGCAAUGGCAGCCAAUUCAUGGCAGAUUCUUUUACCAAAUGUAGGUAUUCAUUAUGAAUGUCAUGUCGUGCCUUUGCAGUGUCUGUUAGUGGAGAUAAAAGUACUAGGUACUCCCUCUCUUUGGAUUCCCUGACAAGGGGUCUAUAAGGGCAUGACGACACAAGUAUAACUCUAGAAAAUAUGGGUGUAUAUGAUAUGCCCGACAUAUUUUCCUCGGACUUUUUUCAAUAGUACGAUAAUUUAAAAAAAAUAUUCUUAAAUUAUUAUAGUAAAAAAAGUUAUUUUAAAUAUAUGAUAGUUUUUGUCACCUAAGAGAGAGGGUGAAUGAAUAAAUUUUUUUUUUUAACCAAAAUCGUCUUUUCAAAAAACGAUUUUAUUUCCAUUUAAAAAAUAAAUAAAAAUUCAAAAGGGGAAGAGACGAUUUCCCAUUAAAAAAAAUUAAUAUUUUUUUUAAUAUUGAUUACAAAUUAUAAAAAAAAAAUAUUCCCAAAGAAACUCAUCUCUUGAAGAGACGAGUUCCCAUGGAAAAAAAUAAUAUUUUUUUUUUAAAAUCCCAAAUUUAAAAAAAAAAAAAAAAACCACAAGGAACUCGUCUUUUGAAAAGACGAGUUCCCAUGAAAAAAAAAUCUCAAAUUAAAUAAAAAAAAUAAAAAAUCCUCAAGGGAACUCGUCUCUUGAAGAGACGAGUUCCCAUGAAAAAAAAUUAAUAUUUUUCUAAAAAAAAAUCCCAAAUUAUAAAUAUAAAAAAAAAAAAAUCCUCAAGAAGAGACGAUUUCCCAAAUUUUUUUUUUUAUAAUUUGGGAUUUUUAAAAAAAUAUAUAUAUUAAAUUUUUUUCAUGGAAACUCGUCUCUUGAAGAGACGAGUUCCCUUAAGGAUUUUUUUUUUUUUAAUUUGAGAUUUUUUUAAAAAAAAUAUAUAUUAUUUUUUAAAUAUAUAUAUAUAUUAUUAUUUUUCAUGGGAACUCGUCUUUUCAAGAGAAGAGUUUCCUUGAGGAUUUUUUUAUUUUUUUUUUAAUUUGGGAUUUUUAAAAGAAAAAAAUAAAAAUCAUGGAACUCGUCUCUUGAAGAGACGAGUUCCUUUGAGGUUUAAAAAAAACAAUAAAUAAAGGCCCGUGAAAUUGGGCCGAAUUGUGGCCCAAAAUAUGGCUUGGCGGGGGUGCCAUGUGGAGCACCCUCAAAAUUCAAACCAAAAAAACAAAAGAAAAGAAAAAGGGUGGGGGGGGGGGGGUCUGGCCACGCCUGAGCGCGCCAGGUGGCAGAUGGGUGCUCAGGUGUGGCUGCUGCCCCUUCCCUUUUGCCCAGGAGGGCUGCCGCCCGUCCGUUCUUUCCACGGCGAUUCCGGCUAUCUCGGGCGACAUCGGCAGCCAAGAGGGGUCUCUUCAAGAGACGAGUUCUCUUGAGGAAAAAAAAUUAAUAUUUUUUUAUAUAUAAUUUAGGAUUUUUUUUUUAAAAAAAAUAUUAAUUUUUUUUCAAGGGAACUCGUCUCUUAAGUCUCUUGAAGAGACGAGUUCCUUUGAGAAUUUUUAUUUAUUUAUAAUUUGAGAUUUUUUUUCAUGGGAACUCGUCUCUUGAAGAGACGAGUUCCCUUGAGGAUUUUAUUUUUAUUUUUUUAUUUGGGAUUUUUUUAUGGAAACUCGUCUCUUCAAGAGACUAUUUCCCUUGGGUUUUUAUUUUUUUUAUUUUUUAUAAUUUAUAAUAAAUGUUAAAAAAAAUAUUAAUUUUUUUUAAUGGAAAAGAGACGAUUUCCCUUUUGAAUUAUUUUUUUCUUUUAAAUGAAAAUAAAAUCAUCUUUUGAAAAGAUGAUUUUGGUUUUAAAAAAAAAAAUUAUCCGUUCACCCUCUCUCUUAGGUGGCAAAAACUACCAUAUAUUUAUAAUAAUUUUUUUUACUACAAUAAUUUAAGAAUAAUUUUUUUAAAUUACCGUAAUAUUGAGAAAAGUCCUAUUUUCCUCAGGAAAGCAUAGGUAGCAUUACCUUAUUUUCUUUUUGUUAAUCCCAAUAAUACAAAAAGUUCGACCUCAUCCUAAUCCCAUCUCACUGUUGCACUGGCUGGGUGCCACCAAAUACCCACUCGUCACCAAUAACACCUGUGAAAGUAUCACUGAUCUUGACCUCUUCAAAAUAAAAAACUUUCGAACCUACCCAUAUCUUUAUAGUUCAGCAGGUCUUUAUCAUUUGACAAGAGCAGUCCAUUAGAAAAUUUAAAAAUUCGUACAAGCAGACAAGCUUGUCAAGAAACUUUUUUUUUUUUUUGUCUCUGAAGUAAUAAAAAGAAUUCUAUAAAUAACAGUACAGAAAGAAGGAAAAAAAUCUAUAGAAAUGGUAUAUAAAAUGUAUAAAAAUAAAAAAAAACAUAGGUUACACAGCAUAUGAAACUACACAAAGCUCUUGAAAAUUUGCAGUUGCACGUGAGCUCAUAUCUCUUAAUUUUAUUACGUGUAUGUUCAGCAUCUUCUUUAUGCAUAGUCUUCUUGAUAUUGGAGAAUUUUGAUGGGCUUUUGGUACUUUUUCCUAAACCUCAAGAAAAUAUCUAGCUAUGCAAACUGAUUAAAACAUUCUACCAGAGAUGUUGGGUUUCUCAUAGACAGAUUGAUUUCUAUAAUUUCUAAUUAUUAAUUGGCUUUUGGGUGUAGAAUUAUUGUGGGUAUGUAUACAUUCCAAUAUUGCAAGAGUCUAUAUCCCAUUUCCUUGAAUGUACCGCCUUUAGACAUUUGUCUUUGCGAUAUUUUAGAGGUGCAUGUGACCUGUAAACAUUAAUCAAUGACAGGUACAUAGAUAUUUUUUUUCUUCGUACGCAAGGGCGUAAGACCAUAAGAGCGUGUGUGCAGCGUGUUCUCUACAGAACCACGCGUAGCGUACCUUGUACCGUGCCGUGCUGUUCAUUUUUUGUGGAAGUUUGAAGUUUUGGGAGGUGGCAUAAUGAGCGUGACAUAUUGAGUUUGACCCCAUGCAAAAUGCAGAGAUAAAUCUCGAUCUACUGAUCUAGAUAAGGUUACAUGUGUUGUAUCAAACGUGGUGCAGACCUGUUCUCUAAAUGAAAGACCAAUGGAGAGAGUGAAGUCAUACCUAACAAGCCUGCAACACUGAUCAAAAUGAUGGGGUACAUGCAUGAAGACUGAAAUCCAAUCCCGAUUGACUUGCAGAUCCAGCUAGCUACAUUCCAAGAAGAAGCAGGGUGUUUUUUAAAUAUAUAUAUAUAUACACAUAUAUUUUUGUAUCUUUUACAUGAGUAAGAACUUCACCAGAGAACAUAUACCCUUGAUUGGCUGCAUUAAGCAGAACAACAUAGGCUUAAAAAAUUGGAGUUACUGAUCACAUGAAUACAAUCAUAAGCAUUAUUUCAGAAGGCAAGUAGUGAUGAAGUACAUUCUUUGGGGGAUAGCUAAAAAUGGAAUAGAAAUGAUGAUACAAAUAGUAAGAUAUAUACCGAUCAUUAGUUGAUUAAACAAGACUUGAGCUUUAAUUCUCUCUUUUUGGAUGGGUGGGUACCGGAUGUUUUCGUGGUUGCAAGUGGAUGAUGUGGACCGAUACGUUCCACACAACUCCAACAUGCAGAACCCAACUUAGGCACACAACCUCAGCCUUAUUAUGACAUUUCUUUUCAUUUCAUGGGAGGACCAGUUAUUAAAUCUACCUUCACAUGCAUGUUCUGGGACCUGUACUGUCUGUCCUUUUAAGUAAAAAUAUGUACCGUGUUUAUAUGAUACUAUAACAUCCAGGGCCAAAGGUGCCCGUGAUUGUCUCAAAUAAUUCGAUAUGCCCUCUGGUGUGAUUGAGAGUAUUUAUGAAAACCCUAGUUAAAUUUGACUUGGUCUAACAUGGGGUGCUUCUGAAAACCUAAGUUCGAUCUGAAUUUAAGAUAUCUCCAAGUGGUCUUGUUGAAUGUUCAUGGGGCUUAAACCAUAGAGAAAAUAUUCAUUUAUUCUCUGAACAAACCUCUAGCUCCUGUAGCAGUCAUAUUAUUUUGCUACCAACUGAAAACUCAGUGUUGGUAUCUGGACCAUUUCCAAUAAUAUUGUUGACUCUUAGUAUACAAACGUGCCAGUGAACAAUAUUUAAAAUUGACAGUAUCUCAUGAAAGCUAGAUGUAAAUCUCCAUGGACGAUCAAACGUUUCUUUCAUGCACUUUUGGUGCUUUUCUUUUCCAGCUCACCUGUUACAUGGAGCCGGGAAGGAAGGCUUCAUCUUGAUGAUCACGACUUAUGAGCAAUCUCAUGUGCAGAAUACAUUAGGGGCCCUCUUGACUGAUUCAAGCUAGCUUUUCAGAUAAGCCUGAACUGGUGGUUGGCACUCCAAGAAAUAUCUAAAUUGAAUGGCGUAGACCUCGCCAUGGAGAUCAAGAUAAGAGAGACUUAACGCCUGAAACAAGUUUUAUUCUGUGAACAAGACUGGGUAUGCUUCGGUGUGUCCCAGGAAAAAUGAACUGACUUCUUGUGUUUUAGAAAUCAUUUGAAAGUAAUGAAUUUAAGGAGGCCAACUUUGAUAUCAAAAUAUAUUAGUAACAUUCAUGGCUACGUAAGGUUUCUUCUUCUUUUUUUCCAAUCCAUUUUUGCUUUGUAUAGAUGUACUCAUUACGAAGAACUGACCCUUUCUUCAAAUAUGCUACGAGGGACUGAAACAACGUGGGAUGAUGAGAUAGAAGAUAUUUUUCUUAAGCUAGCUGAGAAUAAUAAGCAAGAUUCGCUAAAGCCCUAGCUUCUUGGGUGAAAGGAAAUAACAAGAUAUUUUGUCAUGUCAGGAACAUGCCUGCAUUAGUUCACAUUAAUUAAAUUUUGAAAUAUUUAACAUGGAAGGGCUUAAUGUUAAGACAACACUAGUACGACCAUUAAUUGCUAUCUCCAUCUGAAAUAAUUGGAACUUAUAUCUAUACGGUUUUGUGCAAAUAUUAGAGACCAAAAGCACAAAAUCUUUCCCUCGAGACCAAGUAAAUCUCGCUUUUUUAAAUCGAAGGUACUCACUCUACGCUAAUUAAAGCUGAAAUGAUAUUUUGUCUUACGGGUUCAAUAUUUAGAAUCUGUUUGGUUGUAAUUUUAGAAAGUACUUCGAAUCUUUCUAAUAUUUUAAAAUUUUUAUUAAAAGAAUUGUUUUCAUGAGCCAAAAAGAUUAAGGUAGUGUUUGUAUUUUUGGCUUUUUGAUAAAAAUAAUUUAUUUUCAGAAUUUAGGUUGUUUUAGUUUUUCUACUUUUUCAUAACUUAUUAUAAAUUUUUUACUAAAUAGAAAAAAUCAAAAUAUAUAACUUUUUCUAAAUAGAAAAAAUAACAUAUUGAUUUUUCUAUCUUUUUUAAUACUUAUAAAAAUAAAAUAUUAUAAAAACAAAUAACCUAAUAUUUAACAUUAUUAAGCAUUAAAAUUCUAUUUAGAAUUAAGUAAAAAAAUAAACACCACCUAAAAACACUUCUUAAGUCAUUGGAAAACAAGCUCUUAAUUGAAACGAAGAAGGACGGGAUCAAGAAAUUUGUUUCUUGAAAAUUGGUCCAUUGUAUUCUUAAAAGGUUAAUUUCACUUGCUUCUCCUAUUUGUGAUGAAUAUAUUUAACUAUCAUAAUUUGAAAUUUCAUUAAAUGCUUCUAUUACUUUAAGUAGAAGGAAAGAUGAGUGAAAUAACAAAAGAGAAAAAUAGAUGAGGUAGUUGAUGAAAUUUUAAAAUCAUGGCAUAGCUAACUACAUUUAUUUAGCAAAAAUCUCAAGAAAUGUGAAUGAAAUAUCCUUAUUUUUAAAUGAAUUAUGGUCUUUUAAGAAACGGAAGUGCAUGAUCAGCGUAAGAAUCCAUUGAUCCCAUGCGUAAAUUAACCUCCGCCAAUUGCAGCUAUAGUUAAUUAAGUAACGCGAUGCAGAACAAUGAGAGUAGUGGCAGUUGUUGAUACCUCGCAUCUUUGACGAUCCACGUAGUUGCCAGAUGGAUGGACGCGUAACUUCAACUUAUAAAGGUUCUUGAUCCAGUCGUUAUACCUACAGGAAGGCAUCCGGACAGGGUGUCCGGACGCACCCUCCGAUGGUUUUGUUAGCCAUGGUCAGAGAGAGAGAGAGAUAUAAAUCAGUUGGCCUUUUACCAGGUAUUAGGAGGUUACCAGGGGAUCCUUUUCUUCUUCGUGCGAAAGUAUAUAUAUACAGCUUCAGGGGUACUGUUCCUCUCAUUAAUGGCGAGGAGAUAUUUUGUGUUUGUCAUGAUGACAUUUGGAGGCAGCAUGGUCAUCGCCACCCUACUGGCGGCUGUCAGAAACCGUGGUAGGUGAUGCUGCUGUCUAGAGAUCGUGGGAAGUGAUUAUGUAGAAUGAUCGUGGGAAGUGACUUGUUGUCACCUCGACCCGUCCUUUCACUCUACAGAUGAUGGGACGUGGGUCAUGGCUGGUUGUCGUGAUAGCGUGUAAGACUCACUUUACUUUAAUUGAUGACCCGGACGAUUAUAUCCGGGUGACACAUGCUAAUUGCCCGGAUAUAUUGUGGAGCGGAUGCAUUAUGAAGUUUGUCCGGAUGUCUGUGUUUUGCCAGCGACGUUUGCUCUUCCUUGGAUAGGAGGAGUUGAAACGUCAUUUGCCUUUCCUUGAGGCGGUCCGUAUAGGAGAACCAUCAUCAUUUGUAUCCUUAGGGGAAUCCGGAUGAUGAUGGUCCAGCUGGUAACACGUGCCACGUGUCACUGUGAGGUGCGUGCCACGUGUUCUCCAGAGGGAGGGGUCCCUACAGCAGUCACCCCACAUUCUGAUACUUAGAAGACUGUGGUAGGCCAUGGAGAGACAUCUAGAGGCUUUGAGGGCAUUGGUCUCUACAGUUGAAUAUUCUAGAGCAUCUCAACAGGUUUCUGGAACUCUACACUUCUGGAUUGACUUGGCCACACUUGAAGGAGUUGUAUUUUCAAGGUGGGGAUAUAAUAGAAGAAUUAAAGGUUUGAAUCAUAUAUAUAUGCUCCAUCUCUCUGAACGAUGCCUUUCAAUGUGUACUAAUUUAUCCGAAACACAUGAUAUCAAUUUGAACUACCCUUUUCCAUAUGUCCUCUUUUAUAUGAACCACAUGGCCCCUAUUUGAAAUCUGGAUCAUCAUCCCUGGAAAGUUCCAAAAUUUCAGAGUAGCAUUGAGAUAAAAACACAGAUACACAAGAAAUCCUCCUUUUUCCAAACUGAAUAGAGACCAAUAUUUAAUUGUACUUCAUCUUUCUUUUGAAGUUAGUUAGACUAAAAUGAUACUUUUAUGCCAUAAAAGGUAAUAAUUUUUUUUUCCUUAUUUUAUCCCCGGUUCAUCGAGCAGUACAAAUAGCAAAAAGUAGUAACAGUGAAGCCAAAUUUGAUAUGCAAAUCAGGCUGGAAUAGAGCCAGCUACCAACUGAAUCAGUGUUAAUAAUUGGGGGGCAGGCAGACAUGACUAUCUAAAAGGACCUUUCGUAUGCAUCUAAGAACUUCAAUCACAUGCAGUGGUCUCCCAUAUUACAUAAAGUCAAGUCAGACCGAGUUGUUUCCCUCCCGCUCCCUCAGUCACACCCCAUACAGCAAGCAUCCACCUUAUCUCUCACCAUUUAACACUAUAUAUAGAAAGCUAAAGUGCUUAGGAAAAGCACCUUUUGUUGAUCAAACAAAGCAAAGUCUAAGUCAUGACUAAGCUUAAAAGAACGAGUGGUAAGAGGAAGAAUGGCAUUGUAAAGCUUAAGAUCGUGGUAGAGAAGCUGCAAAAGAGCCUUUUGUUGGGGAGGAAAUCAGCUUGUGAAAAUGACGAGUUCAAAGAUGUCAGUGACUCAACCUAUGUGCCAGCUGACGUCAAGGAAGGACACUUUGCGGUGAUUGCUGUGGACGACGAUGAACCAAAGAGAUUCGUCGUCCCAUUAAAUUUUCUUACUCAUCCGACCUUUUUGAAGCUCUUGGAGCAAGCAGCUGAGGAGUAUGGUUUUGAUCAUGAGGGUGCGUUGACAAUCCCUUGCAGGCCGAGCGAGCUGGAGAGCAUACUGGCUGAGCAAUGGCAGAAGGAAAGGGAUUCCAGUGUUGGUGUUCCCUGGGGUUCCUGGAAAACCAUGGUUAAGAGCUGUUAGAAGAAGAACAAGUCGAUUUGAUUCUAUUAAUUCAUGGGAUCUCUUUCCAUGCUCCUGCAUUUGGCCCUCGCUUUUCUUUCUUCUGUUGGACCCUUGAGAUCUCUCAUGUGGGGUUUAUUAAAGAAAAAAAAAAUUAAUAAAAUUGUGAUAGGAUUUUACUCAAAUUAUUUAUUUUUUAUUUUGUAUGAAAUUCAAUAUUUAUCGAGUUUAUGUUUUGAUAAAUUAUCUUUUUAAGUUUAACAAUUACAUUAGAAAAGUAUUGUUUUAGGGUUAGUAUAAAGGAUUCCAUAAAUAUGUGGUUUUAUAGAAAGGAAAAAAAAAAAGAGUGAAGAGAGAUAGGUAGAAGGUGUAUUGGGUAUUAGGUAGAGAAAGGUCGAGAAAUUUUAAAUAGGAAUUUGAGGCACAUUCCUAACAAAUACGACAUUUUUUAAAGUAUUUCCAAACUUACAAUAACUUUUAUGACAUCAAUAAAAAAAUUUCUUUUGAAAAGACAAUUUUAAUUAAAUUUUGAAGUUGUUAAAAUUUUAAAUUAAAUUAUCUCUCCAAAAGAUAACUUUCAAUUGGUAUUAUGAAAAAUGCGUAAAUUAGAAAAUAGGUUAAAAAGUUUCAUAUUUUAAUAAAUAGAUUUUAAACUUGCUAUAUUUUUAAAAAAAAUUCCACCCCUUUUGCAGCAUGCACAUUUAUUUUUGGGUUACAUUACUUUUUUUUCUUUCUAAGCCGAAAAUUUGUAGUCUGUGAAUUUUGUAAUAAUUUGAUUAACAAAAAAGUAAUAUUAUUAUUUAUUCUCUCUUCCAUAUUCUCCGAAAGGUUUUCUUUCUAGUUGGAAUAUAUAUACAACUCACUUAGAUGGUAUUUGUUUUUUUGAUUGAAUAGAAAAAAUUAAAAUAUUUAGUUUUUUUUUAUUAAGUUAAAAAUACCUUAUUGAUAUUAACCAAUAUAAUUAAAGUGAACUUGUUAUCAAUAAGUUUAGUUUAAUUAUGUUGGUUGAUAUCAAUAAGUUACUUUUAACUGAAUAGAAAAAGUCAAAUAUUUUGGUUUUUUCUAUUCAGCCAAGAAAACAAACAUCGUCUUAGUUUUUGUUUGGAUACAAUUUCCUUUUUAUUUUAAAAAUAAAAAAUAAUAAUAAGUUUUAUAUUGAUAUAAAAAUUCUUAUAUGUUUAUAUUGAAAAUGUAAUGAUAUUAAAAAUUGUUUAAAAAAUUUUUGAAAUAUGAAAUAACUAACAAAUUUUAAAUAAAAUUAUAUUUUUUUGUACAAAAUAUUUGAGAAAAUAAAGGGCUAAUCUAAAUAGAUACAAACACCCAAGAGGGAGGGUGAAUUGAAGUUUAAAAAACAAAAAAAUAAUAAUAAUCUUUUUAAACACAAUAAAAUUAAGCACAAGAAGCACAAAUAUAAAGAGAUAAAGUUAUAAAAAGCAAACUCAGAUUUAUAAUGAUUCGGCACUUCCUUACCUACAUUCAAUAUUCUUAAACUCCUAACCGAGUGAGGGUUCCACUUAUACUUGAAACUUUAACCAAGCUUCUAAUCACUUUUUACACUUGGAUUCCGGCUUCAACGGGCUCUUACAUAAUCUCUUCAAGUCUCAACUCACUUGAAUGUUUUAACACUCAAUUAACAAGUUUGAAUCUCUCAACCUAGCUCAACAAUGGUUCAAAUACAACUCAAGGCUAAGAUGAAUCACAAAUGUGCACUAAAAAUAUGCAAAAAGGGGAACACCAAGAAAAUAAUAAGAGCUUUUAUGGCAAGAACAAGUAGGUAAACAAAUAAAUGCAAGUGUUCUCUUCCUCAUAAAUAAAGUGGAGCUCUCAAUUUAUAGGUUCUAACCUCGGGAGUCAAAAAACCAAAAAACAGCCUCGAUCAGUCGAGUUGGAGGGUGAUUGGUUCACUAGCCGUUGGAGCAUUAAAUGUUUGGUAGGUGACCGUUACCCUCAAUCGAAUCUCGACUAUGAAAGAAAGACUAUUGGAAGAGAGAUAAGGUUUUUUGCAUCUCUCAACCGAACCUCGACUAGGAAGGAGUAACCGGUCGACCGAUAUCCUAGCCGGUUGAGCUAAUUGACCAGUGCCUCAACCGGUUCACCAUUUUUUGCCUGAAAACCUAUCUUUUUCUGGUCUUUUUGCUUCUAAUACUUAGACAAUGUCUUUAGGUAAAAUAAUAUGUCAAUUUUGAAACGUUUUGCCUAAGGUUCAUUUGAUAAAAUUCGGAUUUUGAUGGAAAUGUAACUUUAAUGCAUAAACUGAGUUUUCAAAGAUGUAUGAAAUAAUAUGAAAAUCCUAAGUACACUCAUGCAUUCAUCUUACAUAUGUUUCCUAUGAUUAAAAAGUCUUUCAAAAGUUUUGAUCUUGCAUCAUUAGGUCAUUUAAUGAAUUUCCAAAUUAACACUUGAAAUUUUUUAUAAUUCAAACAACUUAGUAACUUAACCAUGAUUUGCUAUCAUCAAACCAUGAUUAGAAGAAUCCUUGGGCUAACAAUAUUAUAUUUUUAUAUAGAGGUUUAUAAUUUAAAAAAAAAAAAAUAGGACGUGUAUUAACAAACAUUGGUAGUGUUUGUUUUUUUGGCUUUUUGCUGAAAACAAUUUAGUUUUAGAAUUUAGGUUGUUUGUUUUUCUACUUUUUCAUGACUUAUUAUAAACUUUUUAUUAAAUAAAAAAAGCCAAAAUAUGUAGCUUUUUCUAAAUAGAAAAAAUAAUAUAUUGGUUUUUUUUACUUUUUAAUACUUAAUAGAAAUAAAAUACUACAAAAACAAACAACCUAAUAUUUAAUACUAUUAAGCAUUAAGAUUCUAUUUAGAAUUAAGUAAAAAAACAAACACCACCUUAAUUCUGAUAACUUUAAUUGAAAUACCACUAAAUGUGCUUGGGAAUCAUUUUAGAGAAAUGAAUAGUAUUGAUCAUAAAAUAACACCAGUAUGUUUAGGAACAUUUUGAAAAACAAUUCUCAACGGAUUUUAAAAAAAUACUCCUUUGAUGUUGAUCUUGAAAUAUUUAUGUUUUCAAAUAAUUAUUAUUUUUAAUUAUUAUUUGUAUUUGUAUAAUUAUUUUUAAAAAAAUUAAAAUAAUUAAAAUAUAUUCUUAAAAACAUCACAUUUUCAUAACAAAUUGUAAAAAAAAAAAAAAAAAUCGCUUUGAUGUGUCAAAAUGUAUAAAAAUAAAAUAAAAAAAACGCUUUGAUGUGUCAAAAUUAAUGUAUUUUUUAGAAAAUAAUUUUGUAUUUUUAAGAAUUAAAGGUUGUUUUUAAAAAUAGUUUUCAAACAGGCUACUAAGACAAGGGCAGUGCUAGAUUUUCUGGCUGAAUUUCAAUUUACCUUGCAAUCAAAAAACAAAUUUCAAUGCAUGAAUGUAUGUGGCUUUGCAAAGAAAUAAACAUAUACAUAGAUCUGAGCUUUUGAGUUAUUUUCCGCAAGACAAUCUGAGUUGUAUUCAUUAGUGGGGAUCCACUGCAUGCCCAACAGUUAAAUUAUUUAUCACAUGACAGCUAUGGUUGUAGUACUGUGAAAUGUGGGAUGUAUAAUGUUGUACCUACACUAGCCAUGUUGAGGAACACCAUAAUUGAACUUUGGAAGAUGAGACGGACACUAGGGUUAGUAUAGAUGUUUCUUCCUGCUUCUUUUUCAUUUUUCCUUGACAUAAAUCAAGCAAAGAAUCUUCAAUACUUGGAUACUUUUGAAAUUGGAGCAAUAACCUCUUUUAUUCAUUUUUCAAAAAAAUAACCUAAUUAAAACAUUUUUAAUUUUUUUUUAUUUUCUAAAACAUUUUCAAUCUUUCUUAUUUUCUCAAAAUAUCAUUUCCCUCUCAUUCGUUCCUUCCCAUUAUUCAUACCUAAAUCUCUCUUGGUUCAUCACUUUCUCUCUUUUAUUAGAUAUCCAAUUCUCACUCUUUUUUUCGGAUACCCAACUCUUUAUUUUUAGGUUUACAAUUUCUCUCUUUGUCCAUUUAAAUUCAAACCUUUAAAAAGAUCAAUGAACAAAAAUCUCAUCUUUCUUUCUUCUUCAAGAUUUUUCGUAGUUUUUACUAUUGUUUUUGUUGGGUUUUUUAUAGUUAUUUUUAGUUGGGAUUUUUUAGUCAUUUUGUGUAUCUUAAUCAAAUUGUUUAUAAAUGAAAUUUAACUAUAGUAUAGUUCACGUUAUCAUUAUGAUUGAUGACCUAAUCUUAAUUAGGUUUUUUUGCAAACCCGAUUUAACUUAUGUGAAGUUCAUGUGAACAUUUUUAAUGGGAAAUUAACCUUUGUAAAAAAAAGUGAGAAAAAAAAACGAAGUUUUUGUUUUUGAAAGCAAACAAACAAAGAGGAGUAAAAGGGUUCAAAAAUGAUCAUUUCUCAACAAAAUUGAAGAGAUGGGUUAUUUUUACAAUUUGAUAGUUAUUUUGAACCAUUUGUUCAAAUAAUGGUAAAGUAGCAAGUGCAAAAGAUGGGUGCUCCCCCUUUCUAUGAUCAUUAGAUUUGAAAUAAGAAUGUCUCAAUAUCAAACCAACCAUAUUCUUUGAAACACUCCCUAUUAGUAUGCAUAUAGUGUAAUAUCUCAUAAUGGAUUGAGAAAGAUUUAUGAUAUUAUAUAUUUAUGAACUCUUCUUGAUUAUGUAGAUAUGUUUUAAAGUUAUAAAAAUUAAUUAAAUAUAGAAUAAACAAUGUCAACAUAGAUGGAAGAUAACAUUACAAAUAGUAUCAAAAUCAAUCAUCAAUCCUAAUUUAAAAGUUUAUAUAGCCUACCAAAAGAUAUUUAUGGGACACAUAUAAGAGUGUCGUGUCUAUAUGGAGGGUGAUUGCAAUAUCCUAUAUUAGAUAUUAGAAAAAAAAACUCAAAUGACUAUAUAUGUAUUAUUUUUUCUUAACAUGUUAUAAAAUCAUAAGAACUCAUUAGACUCAAAUCAGAUAAUAUUUACGUAAAAUAAAAAGUGGAUAGUAAAAUAUAUCUACAAUUAUAUAUCAACCUUCAUGUUUUUUUUCUUGUUUGAUCAAGACAUAUGCUCCCUCUAGUUUGUACUUCAAACAUUAUAUUUUUGUCUCAUUCUUCUUAGUUGUGAGGUGCUUGGGUUCGUGUAGUCCUUGUGACAAGUGAAUGAAUACCGAAAUCUCAAGGGGUAAGUUAAAAAUCAUACUCAUCUAUUGAUGAAUUUACAGAUCUGUUGUUGUAACCUUCCUCUACUUUGUAUACAUUAGAAGAUAAAAGAAGAGAUUCGGAAGAACACUAAACAAAAUUUCAAUUCCACUUAGGGACAAAAAGUGCUCAAACUUAUUCUUUUCUACUAAUUUCAUCAUGGCAUUGAGAAUUCCACUGUUAUACAAUGAGAAGCCAAUUCAAUUUUCAGUUAAGUUAGAAGACUUCCAACUUAUUAGAUAUAGCUAAACAUCUAUCCACAUGAUAUGCUAUGCUAUCAAUAUGUUUGGUGGAUCCAAAAAAACAAAAAACAUCCAAACCUUUUUAGCCUAAUUGGCCUCGUGGUUUAAAAAUGGUUUUUUGUUUUUUAUGGAUCCAACAAAAUAGCACUAUUUGGAUAUUGUUUUCUAUUUUUGGUUUUUAAAAAAAAAUGAGAUAAAGGUCUAUUUUUUAGAGAAUAAUAGAAAUUAUUUUCACCAAUUUUAAAAAAUAAAAGGAAAACAUAUAGAAGCUUAAAAAAUUCAUAAAAAAUAAAUAAAAUUAAAUAUAAAAUCUUUUUUUUCCCUCUCCACUUACGAUUACCAAUAUUAAAAAUCUUCAAAUAUAUUUUUCCUUUGAAUUAUGCAUGUAUUUCUGAUUUUCCUUUUAACUACUCUAAAAAUUUUCAUUAAACAAAUAAAUUUCAAAUCAAACUAUAUUUGAUAGAUAAAAUUUAAAAAGUUUUUAAAAUAAUUUAAAACUCAAAAACUAAUUUAAUUAGUACUAGAAUUUUGAUUUAAUGUGUUGGAUUUAUUAAAAUGAGACUAGUAAUUUUUAAAAAUAACUUAAAACUCAUAUAUUGAUUUCAUUAAUACCAUAAAUUAUAUGUACAAAAAUUGAUAUAGAAUGAUUUUAUUAUUUCUCUUCUAUAUAUAACUAUAUUUUAUGAUUUUUUUUUUACUAGGCAAAUAAAUUUUAGAUUAAAUAAGACUAAACUUGUUACAUUCAUUAACGAGUUUAAUAAUUUUUAAAAAUAAUUUAAUACGUAAAUAAUUAUCGAAUUAAUACCAUAACUUUAUAAAUAAUAAUUGAUCUACAAUUACUCUAGUAUUUAUUUUCUGCACAUAAUUAUAUUUUUAAAAAAUUUCUCACUAAGGAAAUGAAUUGUAAAUCAAGUAGAAUUUUGUAUUAAAUUUAUUAAUAAAUUUAAUAAUUUUUUAAAUUAAUUUAAAACUCUAUAUCUAAUCACUAAAAAUAUGAUAAACCUCAUGACUUUACUAUUUUAUAUACGCAUCAAUAUUUUCUUAAGAAAUUUUCUCACUAGAUGAAUAGAUUCUAAAUUAAGCCGACAUAAUUAAUAAUUAAACUCUUGAUUAAUUUUCUAAUUUUUUAGAAUAAUUUAUAAUUCAAAAAACUAAUCCAAUUAAUUGUAAAUUAAAUCAAAGCAUUUUAAAAUACUUAUCUGUAAUUGAAUACUAAAUUUGUGCAUGUAAUAAAAAAUGACUUACUUACAUAUUAAAAAAACUUUAAUUGUUUUUAAAUUUAUUUUAAAUGAAAUAUUUUUAACAAUAUUAUUAUUAUUAUCCAUUUUUAAUCAAAAAAAAAUCAAUUAUGUUUUUACAAAAUGCUAAUAUCCAUAUUUUUAAAACAUAUAAUAGAAAUAUUUUUUUUUUAAUAAAAAAAUAUUGUUUAUGAUUUUAUUAUAAUAUUACUAUUUAUAUUUUAAAAAAUAUUUAUUUUUCUAUUUAUUUGUAAUUACAAAAGUAUUCUCAAACACUCUUAUUUUUAUAAAAUACUUUAAUAUCAUGGUUUGAUUUUCGGUACUGAUGGGAGAUCAAAUUUAAAGAUUUUUUGUAUCAGUGUUAGAUAAUAGAGAGAGAAGAAAAAUAAUACCAUAUUCAAUUUUAUCUAUUUUCUUUGACUUCUUUUAAUUUUAUAUAUAUAUUUAAAUAAAUGUGAAAAUAAUUUUUACUUGUUUUAUGAAAAUUGUUUUAUAUUUUACUUUGUUUUUAAAAACUAGAAAUAGAAAACAGCGGUGUUACAAAUUUUUAAAAACAAUUUUAUGUUUGUAAAAUAGAAAACCAAUUUUCAAUCAUACAAUCAAACAGGCUGUAAAAAAAAAUGUUCUUUGAUUUUAAUUAAAUUCAAGAAUCGGAAAACAUGGUGAAACAUACGCUUUUUUAGUUUUGCAUUUGUUUGGUUGUUUGGCUCUGGCAGAACAGGGAGCCAGGAUCCAUUCCCAGUUUGCACACCAUAAGCCCAUGAAAAUUUCUCUCCACUCACCGUGUUCAACUAUAUUUUCAAAUGCUCUUAUCUUAAGUAAACUACGGGACUUUAAAAAUAAAAGCCAGUUUAGGGUGAUCAUGAAAAGGCUAAAAGCUUUUUUUUUAAUUAAUUUUUUAAAAAUGGAUGCUUGUGCUAUCGGCGAAAAUUCAGUUUAAAAAUUAUUAUAUUUUCUAUUCAUUAUUGGAGAGUUGCUUAUGCAAUGUAUGUGUUUUCCUGACGAGUUUAAUGCAAAUUAAACUAUUAACCAAAAGGGUCCAAUUAUGAUAGAAGUGUAAUUUUUUUUAUCUAUCAAAAAGUCAUCAUCAAUCGGUACAUUUUCGAGUUUUAUUGUUUAUACCAUAAUUUCAUUUAUUUGUAUUUUCGUACCUAAGUCUCAUUUAUUUGCAUCUUCGUUCGACAAUCUAAAUCUCAUCAUAUAUAUUAAAUCAUACAUACCACUAUAGUAAGGGUGACAGUUUAAUACGAUUUGUCAAUAUGACAUUUUUUGCAGGUUUGGAUUGAGACUAUAAAUAGGUUUUCGUCAAAUUCGUAUCGACUUGUAUAGUUUGUUUAAUAAAUUAAUAAUUUUUGGCUCAAUUUGCAUAACACGACUUUAACCCAAAUUGACUCAUCUAAUAAUCUUACUAUUAAUUUAAUUAUAUAUCAUAUUUAACUCCUUUUAAAUUUGUUUUUAAAUAAAUAGGUCAAUAUAAUCAUAAACAUGUUAAUUAAGGCAUUAAUCAUAUUUGGAUUACAUGAGUUGAUCAUGUCAAUAUACAAAACCUAACUCAUGAGCUACACAAUGCGUCUCCUAUUUAAUAAUUAGAUUAUAUAUGAGUUUAUGCUUUUUACACAAUUAUUAUUCGUAUUGGAUUUAGAUUGAAAUAUGUAAUAGAAUACAAUAUAAUACCUAAGCUUUGAGGCUACUUAAAUAUCAUCCACCAACAUGAAAUAUCACCCCUACACUACUCUUAUCUCACCACAUAUCGUAAGACCGAUACUCCUUGUUUCGUAAAUACCAUUACAAUCGCAUAGAAUUUUCUUAAUUAAAAUCUUAAAUAUGUUUUAUAGUUGUUUUCAAAAGUAAUUUUGUAUUUUCAAAGAUUAAAAAACAAAAAAAUAUAUAUGUUUGGGAAUUAAAAAAUAAAAAACAUUAUUCUUAAAAACAUAAAAAUAUAUUAUAAUUAUCUUUUAAUUAUUUUCACUUAUUUUCUAUACACUAAUUUAAAAAAUAAUUACAUAAAUAUUAAAAACAAAAAGAAAACACCACUACAAAUAAAAAUUAUUUUUAAAAACAUAUUUUUAAUUUCUCAAAAAUACUUUUAUUCUAUAAAAACAUAAAAUAAAAAAAAGCAGUUUUCGAAAACAGUUUAGACUUAAAAGAGAGAAGAAAUAUCAUUCACGCAUCUCUUGGUUAUGGUUUAAUGACCAAAAAUUAUAUAUUCCUUCUAGUAAAUUUUCCUAUUCUUUAUUUCAGCCAAAUCAAAAGCUCCCCAAAAAGAUUGUUAAGACUAACCCAGCAGCAUUCCAAUUUUAUAGCAUCACCAUCACCUGACUACCCUGAAAAAUAAAAUCCACAACCAUACAAACAAGUUGAAGGGAGAAUUAGCAGUUGCAUUACCAAAUUUCACUUGAGAAAAAAAAAUAGGAUAACAUCAUAAUGGCCUACAACACAUCAUUCAAAGGGAAUGAAGCACAAUCAUAAGGAGGUUCACAUAGGCAUCUCGUCUACCAGAAGAAACAUUGUUAAAAAGGUAUUUCCUGGUUCUGAGCCGAUAACCAAGAAUAAUAUAAGGGCAGUGUAUAUUUGUAAAGGAAAAAAAAUUAUAUAUCACCUCCUAGUAAAUAAUAACCAGACAGGUAUCAAAACACAUCAGCUUGAAACAAUAACCCCUUGCCUUGAUCACUUGUGUUUGCCACUUUCCUUGCUUUCAUCAUAAUCCUCUGGGAGAUCACAUGUCCACUAGAUGCAUCAUUUACCAGUCGUGUAGUGAUAUAGAUGAUCAAUGUAAGCAAAGAUAGACUAGUACAAUGGUAUAAUGCUGACACAGCCUCUGCUAUCUGGUUCAACCAGACAAUCCAGCCUUGCUCUUCAGAUGCUCCUUAAAGUCCAUAAUGUCACCCUCCCAGCGGGUCACCUUCUGAUUCUCACACACCCAUAUCUCCUGAGCCACCUGGUUUAUGAGCCUGAAAUCAUGACUAACAAGAACCAGACCACCAUCCCACUCAUUCAAUGCUUCAGCUAGUGAGUCAAUUGUCUCAAUAUCCAAAUGAUUAGUUGGUUCGUCCAGCAGCAACAUGUGAGGUUGCCUAUAAGCUAACCAUGCAAAAAUCACCCGGCUCCUUUGACCAUCUGACAGAUUCUUCAUUGGCAUCACCUGCGCCUUACCUGUCAGCCCAAACUUCCCGAUUGCUGCCCUCAUCUUCUCUUCUUCAUUUCCUGGGUAUUCUCUCAUCAUGUACAGGAGAGCAGACAUCUCCAAGUCAAGUUUCUCAGUCAGGUGCUGAUGGAACUGAGCAAUUCUCAAGUGGUUGUGCCGCCGGACCAUGCCAUCAAUAGGAAACAGAUCCCCAGUCAUGAGCUUCAGCAAAGUACUCUUCCCAGCCCCAUUGGGUCCCACCAGAGCAAUCCUUGAGUCCAGGUCUACCCCAAAGUCAAUGUUCUUGUAAAUGAGAUUAUCAGGAGUAUAGCCAAAUGUGACUUCUACAAACUGCAGUACUGGCGGGGGAAGCUUUCCCACAUCAGUGAAGCGAAAGACAAGAAUCUUGUCUCUAACCACUUUUUCUGUAAGGCCUCCACGUUCCAUUUUGGCCAGAGUUUUUUCCUUGCUCUGAGCCUGGCGAGCUAGUUUCGCAGACCCAUGCCCAAAUCGGGCAAUAUACUCCUUCAUUGAAGCAAUCUGGUCCUGCUCCCACUUGUACUGUUUCAUCUGGUUCUCUUCCAGUUCAGCACGGGUUUGAACAUAUUGGUCAUAAUUACCAGUGUAAAGCUUCAGUUUCCU
rnacentral:lncRNA from 1 species